rnacentral:lncRNA from 1 species
ACUCGGUGCAGCAACCCUCGCCUGGGUCAGGUCAAUCGGCUGCCAGCCGGAUUGGCCGGCGUAUCAUUCCAGAAUGUACUGUUUGUUCUGUGGGGUUUAGGAGUUCUACAGUGGUUCUGCCCCAUCUUUCUAAAAAUACAAUACAGUGUUUCACUAUGUUACCCAGGCUGGUCUUGAACUCCUGGGCUCAAGUGAUCCUCCCACUUUGGCCUCUCAAAGCACUGGGAUUACAGAUAGGGUCUUACUCUGUCGCCCAGGCUGGAGUACAGUGGUGUGAUAUCGGCUCACUGCAACCUCUACCUACCUGGUUCAAGUGAUUCUCCUGCCUCAGCCUCCCGAGUAGCUGGGACUACGGGUAUGUGCCACCAUGCCUGGCUAAUUUUUUGUAUUUUUAGUAGAGACGGGAUUUCACCAUGUUGGCCAGGCUGGUCUUUAACUCCGGUCCUCAAGUGAUCCGCCUGCCUCGGCCUUCCAAACUGCUGGGAUUACAGGCAUAAGCAACUGUGCCAAGCCCCUUAAUUAUAAUAUUUUCAUGGCCUCUUUAGAGUUUUCUAUAUAUAAAAUCAUAAAACUAAGAUAAUUUUACUUUUUAGUUUCCAGUUUGUUUUUUUGUUUGUUUGUUUUUGAGACAGAGUUUUGCCCAGGCUGGAGUGCAGUGGUGCGAUUUCAACUCACUGCAGCCUCCGCCUCAGCCUCCUAAGUAGCUGGGAUUAUAGACAUGCACCACCACGCCUGGCUAAUUUUUGUAUUUUUAGUAGAGAUGGGGUUUUGCCAUGUUGGCCAGGCUGGUCUCAAACUCCCGACCUCAGGUGACCCACCCACCUUGGCCUCCCAAAAUGCUGGGAUUACAGGCAUGAACCACUGCGCCUGGCCUUUAUUUCUAAUUCGAAUGCUGUAUUAAUCAGGGUUCUUUAGAGAAACAGUACUAAUAAAAUAUAUAUAUAAAUAUAUAUUACAUAUGUAUAAAAUGUGAAUUUACAUAAUAUGUAAAAUUAGAGUUGGUUCAUAUGAUUAUGGAGGCUGAAAAGUCCCAUGAUCUUGCAGACAGCAGUCUGCAAGCUGGAGAUACAAGAAAGCCAGUGUUGUAAUUCAGUUCAUAUCUGAAGGUCUGAGAAAGAGGGAAGCUAAUGGUGUAUCUCCCAAUCUGAGUCUGAAGGCCUGAGAACCAAAGAUGGGAGGAAAACUGGUGUAAGGCUACAGUCCAAAGACCUGAGAACCAGGAGCUUUGAUAUUUGAGGGCAAGAGAAAAAUGGAUGUCCCAUCUCAAGAAGAAAGAGCGAAUUGUCCCUUCUGCCUUUUUGUUCAGUUCAGUCCCUCAACAGAUUAGAUGAUGCCUACCUACACUGGUAAGGGCAGAUCUUCUUUACUCAGUCUACCGGUUCAAAUGCUAAUCUCUUCCAGAAACACCCCCACAGACACACCAGAAAUAAUAUUUUAUCAGCUAUCUUUGUAUUCCUUAGCUCAGUCAAGUUGACACAUUAAAUUGACCAUCAAAAAUGCCUUUUAUUUAUUUUUCUUGUCUAAUUGUUCUUACUAGGACUAUGUGGAAUAUUGAAAGCAGGCAAUUUUUCCUGAUAUAAGAGAAUAAACUUUUAGUCUUUCAACCACUGAAUAUGAAGUCAGCUGUGGGAUUUUCAUUUAUGGUUUGUUAUGGGAAAGUAAUUUUUUAAAUUCCUAGUUUGUUGAGUGAUUUCAUCAUGAGUGUUCAGUUUUGUCAAAUGCUCUUUCUGCCUCAAUUGAGAUGAUCAUACAGUUUUUUCCCCUUCAUUCUCUUAAUGUGGUGUAUUACACUGAUUUUUGCGUAAUGAACCACAUUGGUAUUGAUUCUUUUUUAAAUGCUUGAUAGAAUUCACCAGUGAUGCCAUCUCGACAUGGACUUUUCUCAUGGAAAGUUUUAAAAUUACUAAACUUAUUAUAUUUAAUUAUUGUAAGGUUAUUCAGAUUUUAUAUUUCUUUUUGAGUUAAUUUUGAAAGUUUGUGUGUUUCUAGAAAUUUUUCUAUUUCAUCCAAGUUAUCUAACUUGUUAGUGUAUAGUUGUGAAUAUUAUUUCUUUGUAAUUCUUUUUAUUUUAUUGAGGUUGGUUGUGAUAUCCCUCUUUCAUUCCUGAUUUUUGUAAUUUGAAUUUUAUUUUUUUCUGGCCAAUUUAGUUAAGUUUGUGGGUUUUUUUUUUUUUUUUUGAUGGAGUCUCACUCUGUUGCCCAUGCUGGAGUGCGGUGGCAUGAUCUCAGCUCACUGCAGCCUCCACCUCCUGGGUUCAAGUGAUUCUUGUGCCUCAGCCUCCCGAGUAGCUGGGAUUACAGGUGCGCACCACCAUGACAAGCUAAUUUUUGUAUUUUUUAGUAGAGAUGGGGUUUCACCAUGUUGGGCAGACUGGUUUCAAACUCCUGACCUCAGGUGAUCCUACUGCCUUGGCUUCCCAACGUGCUGGGAUUACAGGUGUGAGCCACCAUUCCUAGCCAAGGUUUGUCAUUUUAGUUCAUCUUUGCAAACAAUUUUUGUGUUUUUAAAAAUCUGCUCAGUGUUUUUCUCUUCUCUACUUUAUUUAUUUUCAUUUUAACCUUAUUAUUUCCAUCCUUGGUUUUGCUUUGAUUUUAGUGGAAGAUGACAUUGUUGAGUGGAGAUUUUUUUUAAAAAAAGCAUUUAAAGCUAUAAAUUUCCCUCUGAGCACUUCUUUAGUUGCAUCUAUAAGCUUUGGUAUGUUGUUUUUAUUUUCAUUCAUCACAUGGGAUUUUCAAAUUUAAAUUUUUUCUCUGUCCCAUUGGUUGUUUGAGAGUCUCUUGUUUAAUUUUCAAUUAUUUUGUAGAUGUCUCAAACUUUCUCUCAUUGUUAUUUUCUAAUUUUAUUUCUUUGUAGUUGGAGAAUAUAUUUUGUAUGAUUUUAAUUCCUUUACAUUUAUUGAGACCUGGCUUAUGACCUAGUCUAUGGUUUAUUCUGAAAAAUGUUCUAUUUGUGCCUUAGAAGAAUGUGUACUGGCUGGGUACAGUGGGUCACACUUAUAAUCCCAGCAUUUUGAGAGGCUGUGGCAGAGAAUCACUUGAGGACAAGAGUUCGAGACCAGCUGAGCAGCACAGCAAGACCACAUCUCUAUUAAUAAUAAUAAUAAUAAUAAUAAUAAUAAUAAUAAUAAUAAGAAUGUGUAUUUUGCUGUUGUUGGGUGGAGUAUUCUAGAUGUAUGUUAGGUCUAAUUCACUUAUGGUGUUGUUCAAGUCUUCGGUUUCCUGUUAAAUCUUCUGCAUAAUUGUUUUAUUCAUCAUUAAAAGCAGAGUAUAAAGUAUCCAGCUUUUAUUGUGGAAUUGUCUAUUUUACCUUUCAAUUCCAUGAGUUUUUGCUUCAUGUAUUUUUUAGAUCAUUUUAAGUUUCUCUAUAGUAACUUUUCAUGCAGUUUUUUUUUCUUGUUAUGAUUUUUUUUGGAUGGAUUUUGAAACCCCUGCAUUUUAUAAUUGAUUUGUCUCCAGGGAAAUUAUGCCAUAAUGACAGUAUUAAACUAAAUAGCAAUUAGUAAGGUAAAUCAUUUGCUAUAUCCAUUUGUUUAUUAUUUUGCAACACUAUUGUAUUCUAUCAUCACUGAGGUUAAAAAUAUGUGUGUAUGGGAUUCUUUUUAUAUAUAUAGUUAUAUACCGAGGUGUGUGUGUGUGUGUGUGUGUGUAUUACAUAGAAAGAAGUCAUAACAGUUUCCUGAGAACAAUAAGUCAUAUACAUUGAAGUCUGUGGAUAACUUGAGCUUUCCUGGUGUAGAGGAAAGGGGUUGUAGAAGGUUGUUUUCCUCUAAAAUGCUUGUUAUAUGUGGAAGUGGUAUGGAAAACUCUGCUGUAGAUAGUUUGGAGUCUUGGCUACUUCAUAAAACAUGGAAUGAAAAAUUCGUCUUGAAAAUUACUGAUAAUGGUAAGUAUAACUAGGCAUUGCAUGUUUAUUUUUAAAAAGUCUUAUUGCUCUAAAAUAUGGAAUACUAAUCUAUACUCCCCAUCCAAAGAAUUUGUUUUUGGAAAUUCUUACUUAUAUUCUCCUCUUGCCAUCCUGCCAUCUCUCUUCUCUCCCCCGUUUCCCAUCCCUGCCAGGUCGACUCACCAUAAGUAGAAAAAUCUCACCAUAAGUAGAAAAAUCUCUUCAUUAAAUCUUAUCUGUACCAUGCUAUCAUCCCCAUGGUUCUUAUAUCUGCUACAAAAUAGCUAAUCUAAAAAACUAACUUGUACCAAUAUAAUGUGUUAGUCCUAUUUUGGUUAUCAAUGGCUACAUAAAAACAAAACAAAACACCAAAAAUUGAAAAAAAAAAAGCCCCAAAACGAAGUGAACUAAAGAUAUGAUGUCAUUUGCUUUACCAUCAAUUCUGUAACUUGGGAAGACAUGUAGACAGCUCAUUUCUGCUACACUUGGCUAGAGGCAGCUCAAGUGGCUUGGAGGCUGGGUACCAGAAUCUUCUGAAGACUUCACUUGCCUACAUGUGUGGCUUCAAUGCUGGCUGUGAGCUGGAACUUCAACUUUGGUAUGGCCAGAAUACUUACAUGUGGCCUUUCAAUGUGGCUACUUGGCUUCCUUACAUGGCGUCUGGGUUCCAAGGAUGAGCACAGAGAUAGAGAGAGAAAGAGAGAAAGAGAGAGACAGAGAGAGGGAGAGAGCAUGCCAGGCAGAAGCUUUAUUGUCUUUUAUGAACUAGUCACAAAAGUCAUGCAGCAUCUGUUCUGUUGUUUUCUUGUUGGCCAAGGCAGUCCAAACAGCCUACCUCAAUUCAAGGAAAAUGAAAAGAGGCUCCAAAUCUUGAUGGGGAGUGGUAACGAUCUGAUAGAGUGUGUGAAAGCAGAAAUAUUGCUGUGGCUAUUUUUGGAAAAUACAAUCUGCCACAUUUCUCAAUGGUAGUAUACAAAUUUUAAUUAGGCAACAUUGGGAUCUAAAGGAAUUAAUGUCAAAGUCAGAAUUUUAGACAAUAAAGCAUACCUCUCAGGGAGAUAUUUAGGCAGCAUGUUCAAUAACUUUCAAAUACUGUGGAGGCAACCACAUAUGCUGCAAUACCUGGGCCAGUUCUGUAAAGAAACAAUCAAGUUUUCUUUUCUUUUCUUUUUUUUUUUUUUUGAGAUGGAGUCUCACUCUGUUGCCCAGGCUGGAGUGCAGUGGCUCCAUCUCGGCUCACUGCAAGCUCCGCCUCCUGGGUUCACGCCAUUCUCCUGCCUCAGCCUCCCAAGUAGCUAGGAAUACAUGCGCCCACCACCACACGCGGCUAAUUUUUUGUAUUUUUAGUAGAGACAGGGUUUCACUGUGUCGGUCAGGAUGGUCUCGAUCUCCUGACCUUGUGAUCCACCCACCUUGGCCUCCCAAAGUGCUGAGAUUACCGAUGUAAGCUGCCACACCUGGUGGAAACAAUCAACUUUUGUAAGGACCAAGUGAGCCCAGCUUUCCAUGCAAAGUAGAAUUUAUUUUUGUAAAUUUAAUAAUCUCAAAAUAUGAAGAGAGUGUUUUAAGAAGCCUGUUGUCACCGCUGCUUCAACUUGUACAGAAAUAUUGCCAUCCAAAAUGAUCAAAAUAUUAUCAGUGUGGGUUCUCUUUUAAAACUCUGAAAUCACCUAAGUAUAAAAUUAGUACAGAUUAGACAGUUUGUAAGAUGUAUAUCAAAAAAAGUAGUAUGUCAAGGAAAGUCAGAAAAGGAAAUGGACUUGAAAGUCAUCUAAAAUUCUAUAAAGAAAGAAUGAUUCUAUUGCAACUGAGUGCCAAGAAUAUCAGCAGUGCCUUCUUCAUGCUGUUUUUGAACUUAAAGGCUAAAAGUGAUUGACAUUUCUAUAACCAGGCCUGAUAAUUUCCACGGUCAAUACGUGUCCAUUGAGAAAGUUCCAUAGCUGGUGGGGAAAAGAACUACUCCAAAAUUUUUUUGUUUGUCCCUUUGCCAAUCAGAAAUUUCUAGAAAUGGACACAUUUUACACUUUUAUGCAAAUACCAGUCUAAUUACUGGCACCAAAUACUGAAAAUUACUGGAAUAGAGCACUAAGUGAAUAUUGGGUUGUGAGAGUUAGUUAUGAUUCUGAUUUGAGAAGAAAGAGAUUGUUGCUUCAUACUCUUUUUUUUUAAGAUGGAGUCUCACUCUGUCACCAGGCUGGAGUGCAGUGGCAGGAUCUCGGCUCACUGCAACCUCCAACUCCCUGGUUCAAGUGAUUCUCCUGCCUCAGCCUCCCGAGUAGCUGGGAUUACAGGCAGGCACCACCACGCCCAGCUAAUUUUUGUGUAUUUAGUAGAGACGGGGUUUUGACGGCUGUUACAGUCCGUUGUUGUCACUCCCUGUUUACUCCCAUGAGUUGAAGGUUAAAGGUUAGGGAAACCCAAAGUUAUCAGUUAACCAGAAUACUUGACUAAUUCUCCUUUACCGUUCCUCUGGACAAAGGGCCUUUAUUUUAUAUGUAAUCUCAAGACCAUUGUGAUAGGUACAGGGAGUUCUUGUUAAGUAAGUGCUCAGGAUCCAAGCUACUCCACAGUUAGAAUAAAUGUGUAAAUGAAUGUACUCACUAAUGAACCAAACACUUAUGAAAUUAGUCUCAUCUAAGUGAUUCAAUCAUUAGCACUUGUUUCUAGCCCACCCAUCAGGUCAAUUAUUGGGGAGCCUGCCCCCAAUAGUCACGUAGGUUCUUUUCUAUUUUACCUAAGCGUCAGCCAGGUUGAGAAAUAAAGGGACAGAGUACAAAAGAGAGAAAUUUUAAAGCUGGGCAUUGGGGGGAGGCAUCACAUGUCGGUAGGUUCCGUGAUGCCCCCUGAGCCGUAAAACUGGCAAGUUUUUAUUAGUGAUUUUCAAAAGGGGAGGGAGUGUACGAAUAGGGUGUGGGUCACAGAGAUCACAUGCUUCACAAGGUAAUAGAAUAUCACAAGGAAAAUGGAGGCAGGGUGAGAUCACAGGACCACAGGACCGGGGCGAAAUUAAAAUUGCUAAUGAAGUUUUGGGCAUGCAUUGUCAUUGAUAACAUCUUAUCAGGAGACAGGGUUUGAGAGCAGACAACUGGUCUGACCAAAAAUUUAUUAGGCGGGAAUUUCCUCAUCCUAAUAAGCCUGGGAGCACUAUGGGAGACUGGGGCUUAUUUCAUCCCUACAGCUCGACCAUAAAAGACGGCCGCACCCAAGGGGGCCAUUUUAGAGGCCCACCCUCAGGGACGCAUUCUCUUUCUCAGGGAUGUUCCUUGCUGAGAAAAAGAAUUCAGUGAUAUUUCUCCCAUUUGCUUUUGAAAGAAGAGAAAUAUGGCUCUGUUCCACCCGGCUCACCAGUGGUCAGAGUUUAAGAUUAUCUCUCUUGUUCCCUGAACAUUGCUGUUAUCCUGUUCUUUUUUCAAGGUACCCAGAUUUCAUAUUGUUCAAACACACAUGCUCUACAAUUUGUGCAGUUAAUGCAAUCAUCACAGGGUCCCGAGGUGACAUACAUACUCCUCAGCUUAUGAGAUGACAGGAUUAAGAGAUUAAAGUAAAGACAGGCAUAGGAAAUCACAAGGGUAUUGAUUGGGGAACUGAUAAGUGUCCAUGAAAUCUUCACAAUUUAUGUUUAGAGAUUGCAGUAAAGACAGGCAUAAGAAAUUAUAAAAGUAUUAAUUUGGGAAACUAAUAAGUGUCCAUGAAAUCUUCACAAUCCACGUUCUUCUGCCAUGGCUUCAGCCGGUCCCUCCAUUCAGGAUCCCUGACUUCCCGCAACAGUCAAUGUCAAGCAGAAUAUGUAAUGUAAAUAGAACCCAAAUAUAUUACACCAUAAAUUUGCAAACCUUGUAAAAGGAUGAUGGCGGCUGGGCGUGGUGGCUUACGCCUGUAAUCCCAGCACUUUGGGAGGCUGAGGCAGGCGGAUCACAAGGUCAGGAGAUCGAGACCGUCCUGGUCAACAUGGUGAAACCCCAUCUCUGCUAAAAAUACCAAAAAAAAAAAAAAAAAAAAAAAAAAAUAGCUGGGUGUGGUGGCAUGUACCUAUAGUCCUGGCUACUCAGGAGGCUGAGGCAGGAGAAUGGCGUGAACCCGGGAGGCAGAGGUUGCAGUGAGCUGAGAUCGGACCACUGCACUCCAGCCUGGCAAAAGAGCGAGACUCCGUCUGAAAAGAAAAAAAGAAAAAAAGGAUGAUGGCAACACAGAUACUUUAGAAAUGAGGGAUUCGAAUAUCAAAGGGUAAGGUAAAGUCCUUGGGAAAAUUGAUGAAAUUCUAGAAGACUUUUCAAAAGUCUGAAAAUGGAAUAUGAAAGAAAGACUGACAUAGGAGCUUUCAUAUAAUUUUAUCAAAAGGAUCAUGCCAAAAGCAAAAAGUCAAUCCUUAAUUCUAUUUUUGUUUCUUGUAGGAAUUAGGACAUAAUUGUUAUUAUAAACAAAUUUUUAAGUGUAAGAUUGAUUUUUAAAAAAUAAUCUUUAGUUUCUCUUUGCAAUAUGAUUGUCCCUAUAAAAUUUUUCCAUUAUUUAAUAAUAAAUGAUAUUCCCAUUUUUAGUGGAUUUAAUGUUUCUUUUAUGAAUUAUCUUCAAAUAAUGACGUUAUAAACUGAUACUUUUCAUCUUGUCAGUUUCUCAAAGGCCUGGAUAUGAACAUAUUCUCUCUCCAGGACUGGAACCCUAAAGAUACUUCCUAAUCCUAAAUACUGGUUGAUAUCACCCUUAACAAUUUUUAGACUUACAGUAGAUUCAGUUUAGAUAUUCUACAUUAGAUUACAGUUGGACAUUCUAGUUAGACAUUCUAGUUAGUAACAUUCUAGUUAGAGUUUGACAUGACCUUGGAGAUUUUCCACUGGAGCCCUCCUAUCUUCCCAUUGAGGAAACUCAAAUCCGACCCUGGUUUCCCUGUUAACUGCUCUAGUAACAUUGAUUCUGUUGUCUCCAUAUGCUUGGACCUUUCCCAACUUGCGUGUGGGGUCUCAUCUAAACAGAAUUCUGCCUGAAAUGUUUCCCCCGCCCCACACUUCCCUCCACCCUUCUCAAUUUUUACCAGCCCUUUAAGAUCAUUCACUCAAUCUCUUAGGAGGAGAGAAAAAUAACUUUUUCUGUUUUAAAUUUUUUUUUCUUGGAUGCCUUGAAUAUUAUUUAUAUCUCUGGCUUUGUAAAAUAAAAAUAUACAAUUGAAAAUGUUCAGAAAGACCAGGUGUUAUGGCCAGCACUUUGGGAGGUGGAAGAAGGAAGAUCACUUGAGGCCAGCAGUUCAAAGCCAGCCUGGGACCCUGUCUCUACCAAAAAAAAAAAAAAAAAAAAAAGAAAAAAAUUAGCCAGGCAUGGUAGUGUACACCUGUAGUCCUAGCUACAUGAGAGGCUGAGGUGGGAAGAUCACUUGAGCUCAUGAGCUUGAGGUUACAGCAAGCUAUGAUCACAACACUGUACUUCGGCCUGGACAGCAGAGCGAGAUCCUGUCUCAUCCUCAAACAGCAGAAUCUCACAGCAUUUAUCAACAUGUCUAAAGAGAGACAAAGUACAGCACCUAGGCAUGUGUUUCUUUUUGGGGAUUUGGUGACAUCACAGGAAUUGGUGUACAAAUACAUCGACUGGAAUAUCCAAGGCGCUUCCCUCUCGGUUUAUCAUGGAGAUGAAUCCAAAUCCCAUGCGCACAUUGAACCACUUACAGUGGCCAGUUCCGCGCAAAACCUGGGAUUCCUCCUCUGCCGGCUCCAGCAGCUUCCCGGGGUCUUCUCCACGACCUUUGCUCGCCCCGCCAAUUUAAGAAUAUGGCACUGUUUUUUCUGUGCCUUCCCCCAAAACUUUUGAGCCUAAAAUCCUUUUAUAAUAUAAAUUGCCCAUAAGCUUUUAAAGCUCCUAGAGUGCUUCUUUCACAUAAAGUCGUCCUAUGAGUCUUCUAGAAUGCUUUCCAAUUUGUCACUUUCCUGAAGUCUUCUGGUUUUAAUUUUUUUUCUCAUUUCCUACUUGUUUUUAGUGCCUGAAAGACCUGUGUUUGACUCAAAAGGCGUGUUUUAUUCCCGCAAAAGCCAAAUACUUUAUAGCUUGACUUAUAGUUCUUUCGAAAUGUCUUUAAAAUCAGUUCAAGUAGCUACAAAGAAUCGUCAAUGUACUGGGGGGAAAAAGCAAGGAAAUAAAACUAUCAUAUGCCUGUUGGCUAUCACAAUCAUCCCCAUUUAAAAAACAAGGUACACGUUUUCCCAGACUUUUUUUUCCAACAGUACAAGGAGCCGAAAGAGGUGCCAGAGCCCACCGUCGUUGUUUUCAGUUAUAAGGAAUGAGUGACUGCUGUUAAAGCAGAAACAAUGCUUCGGUUCUUCUUAAAACUAGGAGGAGGGGGCUGUGGCAAUGCGGCAAGUGACUCCACCCGUCCUCUCCUCCCCGCAGAUAAGGCGGGGUCUGUAGCCCAGCGCUGCCAUCGCAACCUGCCUCUCCAGGCAGGUGGCUCCCCAGGCGGCCGAGACCUGAGACCCCAGACCCCGCGCCAGCAGAUCUGCACUUUCCCUCCACCUCCUGCCUCUGCAGCUUCCUCUCACCUUUCUUUCCUCAGUCACUUUUCCCUUUAUUCGUCAUUUUACCAUCUCCUCUCCCUAAGUGGGGUAGAUCCAAAGAAGGCUGGUGAUUUCUCACUAAUUAAGGGACUUUUACAUUUGUCAUCUUGUCCCCAAGAACACCAAACAAAAGAAAUCCGUGCCUUCACUACUAUGGCAAAAACACUGUGCACAACCUACUAUUUUUACUGAAUUUCCAGACGUAUAUCAUUUAUAAUUUGAUCCCUUUUCCUAUGAGAUGCCAGAAUCUCCUAAAGCUAAGCUAAGUGUGUUCCUCUGUUUUAAAUUUUUAUAUCACUUGUCUGUGUACACAUUUGGCAGUUAUCACCUAAUGUUUUCUUAGCACUAAUAGUGACAGGUAAUUCCAUAUCUACUGAUGUCACUCAAAUCAUCUCCACAUUCCGCUUUUUUUUUUUUUUUUUUUGAGGUGGAGUCUCGCUCUGUUGCCCAGGCUGGAGUGCAGUGGUGCAGUCUCGGCUCACUGCAACCUCUGUCUCCUGGGUUCAAGUGAUUCUCCUGCGCCAGCCUCCUGAGUAGCUAGGACUACAGGCAUGUGCCACCACACUCAGCUAAUUUUUUGUAUUUUUAGUAAAGAUGGGGUUUCACCAUGUUGGCCAGGCUGGUCUUGAACUCCUGAACUUCAGCAGUCUGCCUGUGUUGGCCUUCCAAAGUGCUGGGAUUACAGGCGUGAGCCACCAAAACCUCAUUUUUGAGACAAAAGUCCUUAGCAUUUUAACUGCUUGUUACAUUUAUCUCCAUAUUUUUAUUUAUUUUGUACUUAACAACUUUUUUUCUCACAGACAAUUUUAAACACACAUAGAAAUUCUCCCUGUUUGAUUUUUAAGAGUUUCUUUGUUCUGUUUAUUUUAGUUUCUGUCUUAUUUUGCUUUGGAGUUUCUGUUGGCUGCUCAUCAUUAGAAGUGAGUAAUUAGAAAGCUGUUUGGGAGCUGUGUGUAUGUUUGUGGUAUUUGUUGACUAAUGGGCUAAUGGGUUUCCUUGUAGGGUGGCAGUACUUAUAUGGGGCAUAAUUGUUUCCCCUAGGAGACAUUUGGCAUUGUCUCGGGACAUUUUUGAAUGGCCAUCACUGACAUGUAGUGGGAGAAACCAAGGAUGCUUUGAAACAUCCUGCAAUGCACAAGACAGCCUCAGCAACAAGGAAUUCUAUGGUCCAAAACGUCAAUCAUGCCAAAGUGACUGGGCAUCAUCAUCUCCGGCAUAUUGAUGAUUAGACAACUGAGAGAUCUAUUCACAAAACUAUUUCACAAAAAUUAUAUAUAGAGCUUCUUGGGGGGCAUUUAUUUUCUCCACCAAGGGAUCCUCUGAUAUUCUGUCAGCAGAUAUUUUCUUAAAAUUAAAUUUAUUUGAAAGUGUUUUGAGAGUGAGGUAGGGAAGGGAGCUGGCAUUCUCAGAACCUGUCUUUAGUUGGAUGCCUUCUCCUGCUUUCUGGGUGCCAGGUGUUCCAGAGUCUAGGGUCUCUCUGCUGCAGUGUCCUUUGAGAACAAGCACUGCAGUAUGCUGUGGGGGUUAGGGAAGAGCAGUUGCUUGGCUGUGAUGAGGGCAUGGGGAUCUGAGAGCUUAACUGCUCCUUAUACAGAUUAUCAACUGAUCACAUACAUUUCAGUCUAUCUUCUAGGUUACCUGGAGCCUUCAAUUUCUGUGAGCUUCUCUCUCCUCCCUCCUUCCCGUCUCACCUUCCCUCCAUCUCUUCCUUCUUUCCUUCCUUCUUUUUCUCCCUUUCUUUCCCUCCCUCCCUCCCUUCCUUCCCUCCCUCCCUCCCCUCUUUCCUUCCUUCCUCCUUCCCUCCCUCCUUCCCUCCCUUCCCCUCUUCCUCCCUUCCCCCUUUCUCCUUUCCUCCCUUCCUCCCUUCCUUCCUUCCUUCCUUCCUUCCUUUUUUUCUUUCUUUCCUGAAUAGGAUUUCUUUUUUGGAAACCUUUCCUGAAGUCAUGUUUUAAGCUUUCUCAGCUCUGGUAAAUCAGUUACCAUUCCUAUAUCAACUUUCAGUCUCAAAAAAACAUGUUAAUUUCUUCUUCAUUGUCUCCUCUCCCAUUCUCUUUACAUUUUGAAUUUAGACUUUUUACAUUUAUUUCACUAUUGCUUUAGUGAAUUUUUAUUGAACCGUGUGACAAUCAACCAUAUAUUCAGCAUGCCUUGUUAAAAGGUAGUUCAAAUAUGCCCUUAAUCUUUUUGCGUGGCUUUAGAGUAUCAGAUAAUUUUAAAAAAUGAUAUAAAAUAAUGAAGUGAUUCAUACUCCAGAGAUUCAUCAUCUCCUUUUCUGGGAUAGGGCAUCUGAUGUACAAAUAAGGGCAAAUGACCAGGGGGCACAGAUUGUCAGACCUGAAACAGCAGUGUUCACUGGAGAAGUUUCAGACUGUAGGGGUAGCAGGCACGUGGGCACCUUUGGCCUGUUUAUUCUAGGCCAGCACAGAGUUCUAGCAAAGCCAGACUUCAGAUUGCCUGAGAGGGGCUUUCACCUGCAUAAUUAGGGAUGCUCCAGCCCCUCUCCUAGAGUGGUAAGAGGCCAUGAUACAAUAGCACUAUGACGUGAUGGAAUCUUGGCAGCAGCCCUAGCCCUUACCUAGAGAAUGGCAAAGCUGCAGAAGAAACUGCCAAUGGAGUGCUCAACUCCAGAAGCCUGAAACCUAGGUCGGCUUGGCAAGGUGCCUUGCGCCCCAGUGUCAUGGCUGCGGUGGAGCCGCCCACUUCAAGGGGCCCUGCAGAAUCAGACAGUGAGGAUAGUGGCAGCAAUCACAAUGGGCUGAAGAUUAAAUAACUCUUGUUGACUUUUUCAAGUAUUUAUAAGCUCCCCAGAUUCCCAUGGAAGUCUACAGAAGGACAUAAUGAGAAAAGUAGGUUUAAAGGAAAUAAUGUGAAAUUUCUUCCACACUUGAGUUGGUGAGUUAAACGCCACUUAGUCUAUAUGUGGUUUAAAUGUUGUCCCAUUGCCUCAUUAUGGCCUGAUGUAAAUUCAUAUGAAACUAGGAUAUUUAAAAGCUUAUUGGGAUAGCAAAAUAGAGUUGAUGUAUUCACUGCAAAGAUUAUGGAGACCAUUUAUUGCUCUGAACAUUUCAAUAUGUUGGCUUCUUGAGAUUCCAACCCCAAGGGGACAUGAUAGUGAUGAAGAUGGAGAAAUAGAAGUUUAAACAGCACAAUUUGAAGAGGGGGCAAAAGUAACACUUUGAUGAACCUAGACCAUAUAGACCAGUAUAAGGUCAGCAAAGUCUGGAGGACCAUGUGCUCUCUCCCUAGAUUGGACCAGAAGCCCAGGCUCUACUUUUAGGAAAUGGCUCAGAGAGCGCCCACUGAACUUGUCUCUGAUGUCUUAGGCAGAUCAAAUGCUUCUCUGGUCUCUGCUUUCACAGAUGGAGGAUCAGGGGUGUGUGAGCACCACCCCGCUUGGUCUUGGAGACGGAUCAAAUCCAGACUGGUGAGUUCCGGGGGCUUGGGCAAAGUGUGGAUAGAGUUUCUGAGGGUAGGAUGAUGAGGACAUUUGGCUUGGGGGCUGAGAAGGAACAUUUUUCCUGUAAAAUUAAAUCUUUACUAAGACUACUGCCAUUAGGGGCAAGUACUGAAGAAGAUCAUGUGUUUCAAAGUAAGUAGCCUGACAAGAUCUUGUUUGGGUUAAAAAUACGUAUUUAUCUUAUUUUCAUUUUCAAUAUCUUAUUUUACAGAGUUCUCUAUUAAGAGAUGCUAUGAGUGGCUAGGCGUGGUGGCUCCUGCCGGUAAUACCAGCAUUUUGGGAGGCCGAGGCAGGUGGAUCGCCUGAGGUCAGGAGUUUGAGAGCAGCCUGACCAACAUGGUGAAUCCCCAUCUACUAACAAUACAAAAAUUAGCUGGGUGUGGUGGCGCAUGCCUGUAAUCCCAGCUACUCGGGAGGCUGAGGCAGGAGAAUUGCUUGAACCUGGGAGGUGGAGGUUGCAGUGAGCUGAGAUAGCACCAUUGCACUCCAGCCUGGGUGACAAGAGUGAAACUCCAUCCAAAAAAAAAAAAAAUGCUAUGAGUAAACAGCAUUGCACCGUUAAGUAGUUUACAGGAUCUGUUGAAGAAGACAGGGAGUCUCUUACCAACAACAAAAGGCGUUCCAACGCCUGGAAUUCAACCGUAUGGAUGCACAGUGUGUUCUAGUUAUAAAGUGGCUGAUUUCAGGUAAAAGGAAAAAGUAAAGGAAAAAAUCCUGUAGUGAGUGGGAAAUAAUAAAUGCCUACGAGGCAAUCCUUGGCAUUCCUUGGCCUGUCACUCCAGUCUCUACCUUCAGCUUCCCAUAGCCAUCUCCAUAUUUCUCCUUUUCUCAAAUCUCCCUCUCUUUUCUCUUAGAAGGAUGCUAGUCAUUGAACACAGGGCCUUCCUAAAUCUGGAUGAUCUCAUCACAAGAGUCUUUACUUAAUUACAUCUGCAAAGCCCUUUUCUCCAAAUAACAUCAUGUUCGCAGAUACUGAGGGUGGGGCCUGGAUACAUCUUUCAGGGGCCACUAUGAAACUCAUUACAAAGGCCUAAUUCAUUUUUCCUGAUUGGCCCACACUGCUUCUCCGUCCUCUGGGAUGCUGCAGUACUAUUCUGUUUGUGCGCCUGUCUCACAGGAGUGAUUAGCAGAUCUUUAUACUCGGUGUCUCUAGCAUGAUGCCUGAUGUACCAUAAGGCUUCAAUGUGUUUGUUGAACUUAAGCAAAGCAUCGCUUGCAUCAUGUCCUGAGUGUAAGCCUGGCUCACACUCAGCCGUGAUAUGUUAUUCAGAUCACAGCCACUCACGAUACUCUGGGAAGUCAGCACGCUCCUACCAAGGCCAGACAUCUCUGAACUGGAAAACACUUUACUCAGAGCUACCCAUUUUUUUUUAUGUCUUAUAGAAGGGGCCAAGUGGAGAGGGCAGCUACUCAUGUACUCAUUUUUAUUCAUUCGUUUGUUCAUCCAUUUAAGAAACACUGAACACCUAUUCUGAGCCAGGCCCUGCCCCAGGCAUUUGAGAUACAAUGUGUGUAUGGUAAAACCCUCAGCAUCUGGGCUGGGAUUGGAACAAGUGAACACUCAAUUUACAUUUAUUGUGGUCAUGGCCUGAGUGUGGAAGGAAGUGUAGAGUGCUGUGAAAGUCCUCAGACAGGCCCCGAACCUAGACUAGUGGUCAGGGAGAUUGUCCUGGAGGAAGUGACAUAAAUACUGAGACUUGGAGAGAGAGGGUGGUCACCUCAAGUGCAGUGGUGGCAGUGGAGAAUUUCAGAAAUGUAGGUGGUAACAUAGGAAAGUUUGUUUUUUUGUUUUUUUUGUUUUUGUUUUUGUUUUUUUAGACAGUGUCUCGCUCUGUCACCCAGGCUGGAGUGCAGUGUGUGAUCUUGGCUUACUGCAACAUCUGCCUCCUGGGUUCAAGCGAUUCUCCUGCCUCAGCCUCCCGAGUAGCUGGGACUACAGGCGCAUGCCAUCAUGCCCAGCUAAUUUUUGUAUUUUUAGUAGAGACAGGGUUUUGUCAUGUUGGUCAGGCUGGUCUCGAACUCCUGACCUCAGGUGAUCCACCGCCUUGGCCUCCCAAAGUGCUGGGAUUACAGGCGUGACCCACAGCACCCAGCUGCAGGGAGGAUUUUAAAGGCAAAAAAAGGGGGACAGGGAGCGGCUGAUAUAAAAUUGUCAGGAAUUCUCAUUGGUUUAUAGAAAUAACAGUGAUUAAUGAUUGGCUACACAUUGUUAAGUUAUAGAGUAUGGAUUAUGGUGUCCAUUGUUGCAUUGUUAGAUAAUUUAUAGCUACUUAUAGCAACAGUAAGCAGUUUCAAGAGAUGAAUACAUAGUUCAAAGGGCAUAUGCUGGUCUCAUUUUAAUGUCUCUCUAGGCCUGGUAAUUUAAAAUAAUUUGUGUUGUUCACAUGUUAAUUUCUUGUCUCAGCCUGCAGAAAUGCCUUUUAAAAAUGGUCUUGCUCAUUAGCUGUGUCUUAUUAUGAAAUUGUGUCAUUAGAAGUUGGUCCAUCAUUCCCAAAUUGUGGUCCCCAGAUAAACAAUAUCGUAUUCUAGGGGUCAAGGAGAAAACUUCCCCUUUGCCCUCUGAAGGUUUGCUGAAAAAUGAACUCACAAAAGGCAGAUUAAUUAGAGAAAAGGCAUACAAAAUUUAUUAACGUGUACGUGGGAAGGACUACAGUGUGACUGCCCAACCCCGUAAUGGAAUGCAACUUGAGCUUACAGAAAUAAUGAAGGCUCACUGCAUGGCCGAAACCAGGUUAUGGUGGUCAAUCAGGUUAUAGUGGCAAGACAGGUUAUGGGACGGGGAGAAGAAGUGGCUUGUUUAGAAAAGGUGAUCUUGUUAGGUAACAAAGUAGCAACCUUCAGAGAGAUAGGUGGUAAAUGUUUCUUUCUGAUGUUUAAAGGUGUCAGACUCUCAGGUAAUCUUCCUACAUCUGGACAAGGGAGGACCUAGCUGCAUUAAUGUAGAUUCUCUACAGAUGCAAAUCUUCCCCACUAAAGAUAGCCUUGCAGGGCCACUUCUGUUUGCGGGCUCUUUGACAACCAUCUAUCUCCCAAAAUAUGUCAAGUAAAUAUACUUUGGGGUAAAAAAUUUUGAUUUCCUUCAAUAGUAUCUGGGAACUCAUUAGAAAGUCACAUUGUCAGAAAGUGUAGUGAUGGGGCCCCCAUAUUCUGAGCUUUAAAAAGCCCUCCAGAAUAUUCUGAUGCACUUUGAUGCAGCUGGAGAGACACUGCCUUGAAGAAUUGCAUCCUUAGCUAAAUACAUAGUAAAACCCAACGCAAAGUCAAAUAGUAUCUAAGUGAAAUCAAAUCAAAAUGCAAAUCCCCAUGGGGAUACUUUGCAGUAGGAAUUAUUUUUAAUAAGAUUACAAAGUAAAUGAAUCAGAUUCUUUUUAAUGUAACAGCUGACUGACAGCUGGUUUUGACAGGGUGAAAGCCUGUGAGACCACAGAACAGCAAGGCCUUGGCUGGGAAUGUGGGGCACACAGUGGAGGAGAACUCGAAGAAUGUGUUAGUAGUUUCGUUGCUGUGAUUAAGGAAGUUGGCAUGUUGCUGCCAAUCAAAUCUUGUGUUGAGGGGGUGUUUUUAAAAUUAGAGAUGCCUUUUGGAAAGAUUCUCUAGCUCUGGUUCCUGAACACAAGGGGUUUGGUGUUCCUCCAUGUAGCCACUAGAUGGCAGGCUCACGCCAUUUUUCAAGCAGCCAACCCUGUCUAAAUUUAGGGGGGGAAAUGAGCCUAGGAAUUUGAAAAGGGUGCCAGCUUAUUCGUUUUUAUCCUGCGCGUGGUUUUGACAUUCUAUUUUUUUGGACUUCAUCCAUUAAUUAUGACACUCAAAGUUUUUUGUUCACUGAGAGGCAAAGAGCCAAAGCUUUAAUUAAACCCGUGGGGGCACUGCCUUGCGGCAGAGAAGGGUAACUACCAUGUGCCAGCGCUUACAUAAAUUGUUUCAUUUAAUUCUCACAGCAUCCUCAUGAAAUAAGUGUUGUUAUCCACAGUUUUACAUAGGAGAAAACUGACGGUCAGAGAGGCUUAGCAAGAGCCCAAGACCACCCAGCUGAAAGGUAGAAAUGAAUUUGCCAGUAAACCACGCUCAUUAAAUUCUUGAGGAAUAGUCAUUGCAAUUAGUAGAUUUAUUGCAAUCUUAGGAAAGUACAGCUAGAUUCAGCCCGAGGUUUUAUGAUGAAAUGAGAAUUAUACACGUUUUUUUUUAAAAAAAUAUAUUCUCAGUAUUGCAACAUUCUAAGUUCCACUGGUUUUAUUUGCAGAAUGGCAUGUUAGCCUUUUCUAGAUUUAUUAUAGAAAAUAAAUCAGUUUAUUUUUAUGUUUUUUGAGACAGAAUCUCUCACUAUGUCGCCCAGGCUGGAGUGGUGGAGAGGCGCAAUCUCGGCUCACAGCAACUUCCGCCUCCCAGUUCAAGCGAUUCUCCUGCCUCAGCCUCCCGAGUAGCUGGGAUUACAGGCACCCACCAGCACGCCUGGCUAAUUUUUGUAUUUUUAGUAGAGACAGGGUUUUGCCAUGUUAACUAGGCAGGUCUUGAACUCCUGACCUCAAGUGAUCCGCCCGCCUCGGUCUCCCAGAGUGCUGGGAUUACAGGUGUGAGCCACCGUGCUCGGCUGGAAAUAAAUCAGUUUUAAUUAGGAUUUAGAAAUUAAAUCUCUGAAUCUAACUGAAUGUUAGAAUUGUAACCCCUAAGCUCCAAACUGUAAUCUAUUUGCAUAGAAAUUUAGGUGUGAUUUUCUUGUAGCAGGCACCACUUUCUACUUUGUAUUAAAAUUGCAUCAGUUCCUGAAAUCCUCUACUUCCUUGUGAAUCCAGGAAGACAGGCUCCUUGCCUGAGUCAUUUUUUAAUAUUUUUGGCUUACGUUGCCUUUAUUGAUUGUUUUCCCAAAGCAUUCAACUUAGUUCUCAUAGAAAUAGCAACUUUUCUCCCUUUUUGCCCUAAGUUUUCUUUGCCUUGUGUAUUAAAUUUUACUGUCUAAUUACAAACACACUCUUAGUAAGCAUGCAACACAGCUGGAGGCAGCAGAAGUGUGUGGGCAUUCCAGGAAGUCACAUACAAGCCUCAAACAUUCAGCCUGCCCUGGCCACUAGUCAGUAGGUUUUGCAGAGGUGCUCGAGAAUUUGCAUUAAUCUACUGAGUCUAGUAAGAGAGUUUCUACUGUAUCUGGAUUGUGUCUCUCAGAUAGGCUGACAAAACCACAAGGUGGAAACCAUGAAUGGUAUUAGUCCAUCUCAAUAAUAAAGCAACAUUUGGCUGCCAUUUUAUCUGUCUGACUUUUCUGAAUCAACUGAUAUCUCGGCAUCAUAUAGAGGCACCUUUGUGUGUGUGUGUGUGUGUGUGUGUGUGUGUGUUUGAGACAGAGUUUUGCUCUGUUGCCCAGGCUGGAGUGCAGUAGCACGAACUUGACUCACUGCAACCUCCCGCCUCCCAGGCUUAAGUGAUUCUCCUGCCUCAGCCUCCUGAGUAGCUGGGAUUACAGGAGUGUGCCACCACGCCUGGCUAAUUUUUUGUAUUUUUAGUAGAGACAGGGUUUUGCCACAUUGCCCAGGCUGGUCUCGAACCCCUGAGCUCAGACAAUCUGCCCGAGAGGCAACUUGUUGGGAGAAAUAACCAGUUUGAAUGAGAGAUCCUGUAAGGAUUGGUUGAUCUUCUUGGGGAAGAAAAACUAAGCAAAAUAAUUAACCACGUGAAGAAACGAUUUAACAGACACUUCUCUUGUCAGGCAAGGGAAGUAAUGUUUAUUGAGCUCCAAUUUUAUGCUGUGCACUGAGUCAGAGAUUGCACACAUGCCACCUGAUUCGCUCCUUACAACAGUAUGAUAAAUUAAAAAUUCUUAUUCCCAUUUUACCGAUAAGGAAACUCAGUCUCAGAACACUUUCAGUAACUUACAUGUGAUAAAACAGGUAGUAAGUGGCAGGAAGUUAUCAGGAAGAGUGUGUGUAAUCAGGGCUGGGGCAACACUGGUGCAAAAUAAUUUAUGAUAAGUGAAACAUCUACAAUUUUCGUAAGAACAGGAUCAGUAAUAACGUUGUGCUGAACCAUACUGGAGCCCGAAGCCAAGGGAAUUUUUUGAUGCCCCUUAAAUUCUGUGCCAAGACAGGAGCCUCAUUUGCUUCGCCCUAGGCCCAGCCCUGCAAAUACUACAAAGUGCUUGUUCAGAAAGCUUUUUUCCAACAUUUAUCUAAUAACAAUUUAUUGACUGGCUACUGUGCACCCGUCACUAUGAUCGGGUUUUGAAACAAAACAUUAAGUUAGAAUGUACCUGAUUUCUGCUUUCCUGAUACUUGUGGAACACCCUGCUCAAAGCUGGAAAGUAUUAUUAUACAAUAGAUGACUCUUAGCUGGAAAGUAUUAUUAGAUAAUAGAUGACUCUUAGUCACUUACUCCUUUGUUGUAGAUAAGGAAAAUGUGGCAAACUAGAGCCAUGGAAUUGGACUUUCAUGGCCCCCAUGUCUCUGCUGAAUUUUGUAACUUCAGAAAACAAUUUGUAGAUUGAGAUCACAAAGUCUUAUGUUUGAUGUGUUGAAUAAACCAUGUUCUUCAAGAUCUUCUCUUUCAUUAGUAUCCCUUGACCAGGCAGAUUGGAAUAUUGUCCUAAUCAUGGAGACCAUACGUUAUCUUUCAGUUUCAUAGUGAUUACAAGCAUGAGUUUUGGCACAGCCAGACUUGAGUCUGUGAGUUAUUAAGAACAAUUGGGGCCUGGUGUGGUGGCUCAAGCCUGUAAUUCCAGCACUUUGGGAGGCCGACGCGGGUGGAUCAUGAGGUCAGGAGAUCAAGACCAUCCUGGCUAACAGUGAAACCCUGUCUCUACUAAAAAUCCAAAAAUAAUUAGGUGGGCAUGGUGGCAUGUGCCUGUAAUCCCAGCUACUCAGGAGGCUGAGGCAGGAGAAUCCUUUGAACCCGGGAGGCAGAGAUUGCAGUGAGCCGAGAUUGCGCCACUGCACUACACUCCAGCCUGGGCGACAGAGGGAGACUCCGUCAAAAAAAAAAAAAAAGAAAAAAGAAAAAUAAAUAAAUUAAAAAAAGGACAACUGGUAUCCCAGUUCUACUGGUAACUUUGGAGAACUUAUUUAACAUCUCUGUACUACUGUUUCAUCAGUAAAUGGUGGGUAAUAAGAGUAGUAAGCUAAACUAUAUCAGGUGCUUACAACAAUUCAUGGUACAUAGUAGGUGCUUAAUAUAAGUGAGCUUCUACUAUUAUAGUAACGGCCGCAAUAGUUCUGUCACUAACUCUGUGAUCCUCUGUAAAUUACUUGGCUUAUGUAAGCUUUAGUUAUCUCAAUUGACAAAUGAAAGAAAAUAAUUGUACCUACCUCCUGAGGCUCUUGUGCUGACUAAGGCAGAGAAUAAAUGAAGAUCACUUGGCUUGGCAUAUAAAUGCUUGGAAAAAUGUUAGCUCUUUUUUUUUCUAAAAUGACUCUUUUAAACUAAAGAUCCUUCAAAAUUCAAUGGCAGUUAUAGAUCAUUCAUCUUCUGUACUUGAUGUUGUUCAUAGUGCCUGGGACAUAGCAGUACUCAAUAAAUCUUUGAUGAAAGCAUACAGAAAUAAAUAACGUUAGAGACAUAAAAGCCCAUAAGUAGCUGAGGUGUGCACGCAACGGUGAAGUAAGUAAAGGUCAUUUCGUUUUGUGUGUGUGUGUGUGUGUGUGCGCACGCAUGUGUGUGUAAGGAGGGAGGGGGGAGAGAGAGGGAGGGAGAGAGAGGGAUAACAUAUAAGAAAGUAAAUGAAAAGCUUCAUUGAAUUCUAGUGAAUUUUGUGCUUCCCUUGCUUAUGUUUAAUAAAGAUCACACAGAAGGAAGCUUCAAAAAGACAAUGCAGAUUUUCACAAGUGGAAAAGGAUAUUCGCAGUUCUAUGGCUAUCGAUUUCUCUGACAAAUCACUCAAGUCCAGUGGAGUUAUUCAAAUAGAUAUCAGAAUAGAUUAUUACUUCAUUGGAAAAAUUUAAAGCCAAAGAACACAGAACAUUGGAGUUAUAUUUUUUGAUCCUCUCCUUGAUCAUGUUCUUAGCUGAGCUUACCCUUUUAUUCUCUUUCCACGUCUUUCUCAAAAGUUAGAGAAAAAAAAAACAGGUCAAUCAAUAUUUACUUUGAAGAUGAAAAGCUCUAGCUUUCUUAGAGUACAUAUUUUAAGCUGAUGCCACUGAAAUGAGAAUACCUGAGCCCUCCACACCACAUUCAGAAAGCUUUUAUCUGUAUUUACUACCAGUUAAAUCGUUUUCAAUAAUUGACGAUAAGAAAUAAUCAGCUCAGUUGUUGGGAGAUCAGGCUUUAGUGUUUUUGUCAUCACAAUGUCAAAAUUGUUGGACUAGUUAAAAAAAUCAUCAUCUUUUAGAAUUUUGCUUGUCCUUAUUAAACAACUAGUUGGAUUAAACCAUCCACUUAAUAAAAAACUAGUUAGGAGUGUGAACUUUUGGGUCACAUAGCAUGGCUUUGAAUUCCGAUUAUACUGUCUCUCAUUGGUGAGAUUUUGUAAUUUACUUAAAUUUUCUGAGCCUCGGCUCCCUCAUCUAUAGAAUGGAGAUAAUAAUAUCUGUCUCAUAUUGUUGUUGUAGAAAUUAAAUGAAGUAAUGCAUGUAGAGUGCUUGGCAGCAUUGGCGUAUUGCAAGUGCUCAAUAAAUAAUAAUUAUCACCAUCAUUAUGGAGCUGAUUGGGCAUCAGAGAGCUGGAGCCACUGAUGAAGUCACUUCUGUAAGGGGAAAAGUCAGAGUGCACGUUUUUUCCAAGGUUGCUAUUUUGCAAACUUUAAUAUUAAUGCACUCAAUUCAAGAAGAGCUUCAGAAAAAUUGGAUAGCUGCAGAGGAAAAUUACCUAAUCAACAAUGCAAUUUGAAAGGUUGCUUCAAAUUACACCAAAUGCUAAAACUGAAUGGUUAGGGAAUAAGAAUAUGAAUAUGUCAUGCUCUGGAUUAUUUUAUCUUCUCAUUUGCACCCCACAUACACUUUCUUAAAAAAUAUUGGUGACUAGAAGUUCUUUUCGUGAUAUGGGAAAGAAUGUUUUGUAUGUAAACUAUCUCUUUGAAACUGAUUACGACAACUUUUGCAGAGAGAUUCCAGCAUGUCAGAAGUUUCUAAACAGUUAAACACAAAGAAAUACAAGUUCAGGGUAAAAUAUUUUAAUAUAAUCGCUUCUACCACCAGGUGAAGAUGUGUGGGUAUUUGAUUUAGGGGGAAAACUGAUGAUAUUUCUGAGCCAUUCUAAUGAAACUCAUAUGAGUAAAAAUAUUUGAGGGCUUACUAUUUUAUAGACCUCGUAUUUAUGGCUGUCAAAAUAUUUCUGAAAGAGAUUAAGAGCCUAUUCAUUUCUCUACUUGAUGAAAGUUAUUUAUUUUACUUUAUUUAUUUUACUUUACUACACAUUUUCAGGAUAAUCCACCAGCAGUUUUCAUAUAGAGAAUGAUUAUUGAAAGUGAUCAGUUCUAACUCUGACUUUUGCAGGAAUUAGUCAAGUGUAAGGCUGAUUUUUCUGCUUAGGCACUACUGGCAGACAGAUUAGGGUUUUAGAAACUUUGUAGGAAUUGUGUUUGAGACCUGAAAAAAAAAUUGUUUAAACUGGCUCAAAGAUACAAGAAAAACACACAAAAAAGGAUGAAUAUUAAAUCAAAUACUCAUAAAACAUAUUUUGUCAAUUUUAAUGAUUCUUUAAUAUAUUAGUCAUAAGAAUUGUAUUCAAUUUAAAAUCUUUUUUAGAUUUUCUUUCCUUGUAAGCAUUUCUAAGUAUUUGGGAUGAUUGCUUGUAUAAAUGAAGUAUAAUAUAUUACUUAGAGUCAAAUAAUUUAACAAAUAAAAUUUAUAAAAUGUUUUAGGAUGUUAUUACAGCCAAAAUUAUUUUUAAUGAGGGAUUUGAGAUGCAUUUUCCUAUGAUUGAUAUGAUGAAAGGGGGAAAACUGUAGAUGUAAGAGUGAUUGUGGUCAUCUCAAAAGAUCCCUGGGCUGGUUUUUAUGUUUAGCUGGAUAUUUCUCUCUACAUGACCAAUAUGGUAGUGGUUGAGCACCAUGGUGGGAUUAAGGGCUAAAAGCAAAGACACCAAGCUCUAUUUGUGCCUGUCCCAUCAUUAAGUCAACAGAAAAUAAGCAAGGUAGUUGCUUUUCAGUCAAUAAUGUCAGCUGGGUACUGUACUGCUAUAAUGGCCUGUCAGCUCUGAUCCACUUACAUAGAAAAAUAGUAGAGGUGAGGGGGAAAUGCCGUUUUAGUCAUUGUCCUGAGAAUCGACAUGCUGUUUCUCUGUAACCAAACCAGAAAAAACUGAAGCAUAAGUGCUGAUUUCUUGAAUAGCCAGUGGAGCUCAAUUAUUAAAAGAAACACAAAAUCUCCAAUGUAAUAACCAGUUUUAAUUUUAGAGGGUAUAAUAGUUGCCUAGAAUCAAGCCAACGCUUCAGAUUGGGGAGUGAAGAUUUUAGAACCCACCAAUGUACUAAACUUGCACACGGCAAUGAAUUUAAUUAAUUGAUUAAUUUUGUAAUAACGAAGAAAGCAAAUCAAGUGCACUGAGUCCAUAUUUUCUGAUUCUAACAUAAGACAAGUAAGAGUCAGCUCCUUUAUUCCUAAUACUAGGUAAAAAAUUCAUUCUUGGUCUCUGCUUUAGCUUCUUUUGCUCGUUUUUUUCAAUAAAUAUUUGUUGAGCCUUUUUUAAGUUGCUGGCACAAUGCUUGGCAUAUAGCAGUGAGUCAGUUAGUUAAGCUUCCUUGUCUUAUUUAGCUUAUGUAGAACACAGCACUGGUCAUUCACACUGUGAUGGGCACAAGUAAAUGAGCCGCCAGGGUGUAAGAUAAUAAGUUGUUUGGGUUCACGAUGGGUGAUCCAGGAUGCCCCUGCAGAGGAAGUGACUCAUAAGCCAAUAACUGAGGGAUGAGAAUAAGCCAGUCAGUUGAAGAGAUGAGGAAGAGCAUUCCAGGGAGGGGAACAGCAGGUGCAAAGAUUGAGAGGUAGGAAAGAGCAGCUCUGUCUUUGGUGAACGGCACAGUAAGGAAAGCGUCAGGAAGAGUAGGGAAACAAACAAAAAAACACAAUUCUCUAUUUAUUUUGCAAAUACUUUUUAGGAGGCAUUUUACUAAGCACUUUUAGGGAUAGAAAGAAGAUUAAGAUGUAAUCCUUGCCCUCAACAACAGAAAAAGAUUAUUAUUUCGUUAGUAUAGAUUAAUUCUAUAAAUCAAUGGAUAUACUGUAGCUUUAUAUAUGUGGAUAAUAUAUCUCUUUUUUUUUUUUUUUUUUUUUUUUUUUUUUGAGACAGAGUCUCACCCUGUCACCUAGGCUGGAAUGCAGUGGUAGGAUCUCAGCUCAUGCAACCUCUGCCUCCUGGGUUCAUGCGAUUCUCCUGCCUCAGCUUCCCGAGUAGCUGGGAUUACAGGCAUGAGCAACAAGGCCUGGCUAAUUAUUGUAUUUUUGUAUUAGAGAUGGGGUUUCGCCAUGUUGGCCAGGCUAGUCUGGAACUUUUGACCUCAGGUGAUCCACCCAUCUCGGCUUCCCAAAGUGCUAGGAUUACAGGCAUGAACCACUGCACCUGGCCAUAUAUCUCAAAUUAAAUUUGUCUAAUAAACAGAAAAAAAAUAGUUUUUAAGACAGAAAUGAUUGGAUUUUUUAAGAUACAGUUUUUUAAAGAUAAGAUAUAGCCAUAUGAAGAAGCUGAGCAGUUGCCCCAAAAUCCGUAAUUCUUUUUGAUCUCAUGGUCUUAAAAAUCUCAGAUUUCCACUGUUACGUGACCUCUGGAAGGGGGCUUUUACCUUUCUGUGCUUCAAAUACAUCAUCUGAAAAAUGAAGGUUUUGUGUGGAACCUAGCUGUUGAUUCAAAUUGAUUCGGGAACUGAAUGAUGUGUCCACAUAACUGUUGCCAAAUAAUUACCAAAAAAAAAAAAAAAGGACACAGUUUCCAAAUGUAUUCUGUUUCUUCUUGCUGACAUUUUCUUGGGGAAAAUGGAAAGAUUAGAAUAGACGAAUAGACAUACAGUAAUAAAAAUUUGUUGAUCUACUACUUUGUCCAGCUACUGGGGCAAGCACUUUAUACGGUUUACUAGAGAUUUCUUCUAGUGCUAUCUUUUUGAAGAAAAACCUAAGUGGGAUACUUGUAGUCUGGAAUUGUUGAUAAGGGGAGCUCUGAGGGCUUUAAAACACAAAAGCUAUUUAGCCAGAGGGUAAAAAGGAGAAAUCAAGCAAGGCAAGAUACUAACAUUUAUUGAGUGUGUACUUUGUGCUGAUUCAACACUAUAUUCUUUGUUUUUGUUUUUGAGAUAAUGUCUUGCUCUGUCCCUCAGGCUGGAGUGAAGUGGUAGGAUCUCGGCUCAUUGCAACCUCUGCCUCCCGGGUUCAAGCGAUUCUUGUGCCUCAGCCUCCCACAUAGCUGGGACUACAGGUGCACACCACCAUGCCCAGCUAAUUUUUGUAUUUUUUGUAGAAAUGGCGUUUUGCCAUGUUGCCCAGGCUGGUCUUGAGCUCCUGGGCUCAAGUGAUCUGCCUGCCUCAGCCUCCCAAAUUGCUGGGAUUAACAGGUGUGAGCCAUUAUGCCUGACCCAAUACUGUAUUCUUUACUUACAUCUCAUUCAAUUUUCCCGACAAGCUUUAAGAGGAAAGUGUGAUCAUUGCCUUUCACAGAUGAAGAUAUCAGUUCUGAUGAAGAAAGCAAAACAUAAGGAGGUUAAGGAACUCGUCCUUAGGCAGAUACCUGGUAAGUAGCACAGGUGACAUUGAAACUCCCAUUUCUUAGAAUCACAAAUGUGGGCUAUUUCCAUGAAGAGAAACCAAGUUUUAGAUGGGAAGAUAGAUGAUUUCUAGAUGUUUUUGUAAUUCCUACUAUUUUUGGCUUUACUCUUUGGCCAUAUUUUAAUUUUUUUAUCCCUACAUCCACAUUUUUCACAUAUACAAAACAUUAUUGGUGUGUUUGCUUCUUUUGAAGUUAAAAAUCCUUUUUAUUUUUUCUUUUAUUUUUAUUUGUUAUUAUUUAUUUAUUUAUUUAUUUGAGAUGGAGUCUCACUCUGUCACCCAGGCUGUAGUGCAGUGGCACAAUCUCGACUCACUGCAACCUCCACCUUCUGGGUUCAAGCAAUUCUCCCUGCCUCAGCCUCCCAAGUAGCUGGGAUUACAGGUGUGUGCCACCAUGCCUGUUUCAUUUUUGUUUUUUUUUUUUUAGUAGAGAUGGAGUUUCACCAUGUUGGCCAGUCUGGUCUUGAAUUCCUGACCUCAGGUGAUCCACCUGCCUCAGCCUCCCAAAGUACUGGAAUUACAGGCAUGAGCCACUGCACUUGGCCUCUUUUAUUUUUAAUUAACAAAUAAUAACUGUGUGUGUUUAUGGGGUAUAAUGUGAUGAUUUGAUCUAGGUAUACAUUAUAAAAAGGUUCAAUCAAGUUAAUUAACAUAUCCAUCAACUCACCAACUUAUCACUUUGUGGUGAAGAGAAUGUUAAAAAUCUAUUUUUUUAGCAAUUUUGAAAUACACAAUACAUUAUUUUAAGCUGCGCAGUGCAAUAGAUCACUAAAACAUAUUCCUCCUGUCUAGCUGAAACUUUGUGCUCUUUGAUCAACAUCUUCCCUUUUCCCCUUCCUUGCUUUUUCCAGCAGACUCUGAUAACUAACGUUCUACUCUCUGUUUUUAACUGAGAUCAUACCUUGUUUGCCUUUCUGUGUACUGGCGUAUAUUUCCAAAUUUCCUUUACUUUUUUCUUAGAUCAUUUUAAUAUAUCCGUCUUUUCCUCCGGUUUUCCCUUUGCUGUUUAUGACCAAAGGCUGAUUGAUGAAAGGUUAACAAUUCUCUAAUUAACAUAUUAAAUAGACUUUUAUCCCUCCUGCCAAUGUUGAAGCAACUGAUUAUCAGCCCUGUUUGGGAGCAGAGAAAGUUGACCUCAGAUAGACCAAUAGAGCCCGUCAAAGAGAAAAACGAAGAAGUGGGGUCUCCCAACUCCCUCAGUUCCAGGCCAAUCUGUUAUAAUUGCUUAAGAACAAGGACUCAAAUACUUGGAGUCUUCACUGAUGCAGAGCUUCAGAAAUAAUGAUUACAGCAAAUCAGGGCUCAUGAAUAUGCAGCUUAUUUCUGCUUUGAGACACUUGAGUUAUCUAAAUUAAAAAUACAAAAUUAUGGAUUGCAAAGAAAGCAGCAGGAACUUUUUUAUUUUAACAAUUGGAAAAUAUCACUGGAAAUGAAGUCUUCCUGCCAACAUGAAGCACAUAAUAAUCAUGCCAGGAAAAGGAUGUUUUUCUAAAUGCUUGUUUUAAAUAGAUUUUCCCCCAAAAAUUCUGUUUAAAGAUAGACUACGGAAGCUCUAAUUCAUGUGAUUUUUCUCUUUGUGGAUUUCAGUUUCAGGGUUAUUCAUUUUGGGACAGAGUCUAACACCAUCUCAUUCACAAGAUGUUCCUUAGAGUCAGCUUCUACCUUCAGAAAUCCUGAAAUAAAGAGGCUUGAUUUUGGUGUUUUUUCCUUUUCUGUUGUUUUCAGAGUCUCUUCCAUGUUCUUAAGAUUGGUCUGUCAAAGACCUUCCAUUCUACUAGGCUUAAACUUCCAGACCCUACCUUCAUGUUUUAGACCUUAUCUCUCCCCACUUUUGGUUUAUCAAGAUGAUUUAUUUGGUACUCUGUUUAUUCAGAAUCUUUUGAAGCAAUAUGGUUAAUAAACAAGUGUGUGUAUGUGUGUGUGUUAAUAUUUAUACUUUUUCAGGUUACUAUUUUCUUUUUACAAGUUAAAUUUGCAAACCCCAUUUUUGAAUGUCUGAGCUUGCAACACCAGGUGGCUACCACAUGGAUAGAAUUGCCUGGAUCACAUGGCAACUAUCAGAGGUAGGAACACAUGACUGUAAUAAAUCUUUUAAAAGGAGGUGUGUGUGUGUGUUUGAGGAAAUAAUUAAACCAAAGCAUAGUGUUUAGAAAUACAGAGGAUGGUUGGAAAAUAUAUAUCAGUUGUUUUUCCAUUCCUCUUUUCAGUGACUAUGGCUGAGAUUUCUGUGACACCCUUUUCCACUAUCUCAGAAUAAUUAUUAACAUAAGACCUGAGCAGCAUCUAUCGGUUAAUAAUGAAUGGCAAUGGGGACAAAAUCAUAUAUUCUUCUUCAUAUAGAGCAAGCUUAAAACAACAACAACACUGGAAUAAAACAAGGAUGCUUACUUUCGCCACUCUUACUCAACAUAGGACUGGAAGUCCUAGCCAGAUCAAUCAGGCAAGAGGAAGAAAUAAAAGGCAUACAAACUGGAAAAAAGGAAGUCCAAUUGUUCCUCUUUUCAGAUGACAUGAUCUUAAUAUACAGAAAAACCUAAAGAUUUCUACCAGCUGGGCAUGGUGGCUCACGGCUGUAAUCCCAGCACUUUGGGAGGCCGAGGCGGGUAGAUCACAAGGUCAGGCGUUCGAGACCAGCCUGGCCAACAUAGUGAAACCCCGUCUCUACUAAAAAUACAAAACUUAGGUGGGCAUGGUGGUGCACACCCAUAGUUCCACCUACUCAGGAGGCUGAGGCAGGAGAAUCACUUGGACCUGGGAGGCGGAGGUUAUGGUGAGAUGAGAUGGUGCCACUGCACUCCAGCCUGGGCAACAGAGUGAGACUCUAUCUCGAAACAAACAAACAAACAAACAAACAAAAAAAAAAAGAAAGAAAAGAUUUCUACCAAAGACUUCACCAAAAAUCUCUUAGAACUGAUAAACAAAUUCAGUAAAGUCGUAGCAUAUAAAAUCAACAUAAAAAACAUCAGUAGCUUCCUCAGGAGAAAUCAGUUGGGAUGGGAGUAAUUAGUAGCAUUUUUUUCUUCUUUUUAAAGAAAUAAUUUCAAUUUUUAUUUUAGAUUCAGUGGGGGUACAUAUGCAGGUUUGCUAUAUGGGCAUAUUGUGUGAUGCUGAGGUUUGGGGUAUGAAUGAUCUUGUUACCUAGGUAGUGAGCAUAGUACCCAAAGGGUACUUUUUUAACCCUUGCUGCUUGCCCCUUGUCUACCCUCUAGUAGUCCCCAUUGUCUAUAGUUCCCACCUUUACAUCUAUAAGGGCCCAGUGUUUAACUCCCGCUUAUAAGUGAGAACAUGUGGCAUUUGAUUUUCUGUUCUGCAUUAAUUUACUUAGAAUGAUGUCCUUCAGCUCCAUCAGUGUUGCUGCAAAAGUCAUAAUUUUAUUCUUUAUUACAGCUGCACGCUAUUCCAUAGUGUAUAUGUACCACAUUUUCUUUAUUGAAUCCACUAUUUAUGGGCACCUAGGCUGAUUUCAUGUGUUUUCUAUUGCAAAUGCUGCUGCGCUGUACAUACGUGUGCAUGUUCUUUUUGGUAGAAUGAUUUAUUUUUCCUUUGCCUGUAUACCUAGUAAUGGGAUUGCUGGGUUGAGUGGUAGCUCUGUUUUUAGUUCUUUGAGAGAUUUCCAAACUGCUUUCCACAGUGCUGAACUAACUUAUAUUCCCACCAACAUUUCAGUGUUCCCUUUUCUCUGUAGUCUUCUCAGGAUCUGUUAUUUUUUGUCUUUUUAAUAAUAGUCAUUCUGACUGGUGUGAGAUGGUAUGGCAUUGUGGUUUUAAUUUGUAUUUCUCUGAUUAUUAGUAAUGUUGAGUAUUUUUUCAUAUGUAAUUGACUGUAUGUCUUCUUUUGACAGGCAUCUGUUCAUAUAUUUUGCCCAUUUUUAAUGGGGUUAUUUGGUUUUUGUUCGUUCAGUUGUUUAAGUUCCUUAAGGUUCUGGAUAUUAGACCUUUGUCAGAUGCAUAGUUUGCAAGUAUUUUCUUUCAUUCUGUAGGUUGUCUGUUUACUCUGUUGAUAGUUUCUUUUGCUGUACAAAACCCUUUUUUUUUAUUUCAAUAGGUUUUUGGGGAACAGGUGGUGUUUGGUUACAUGGAUAAGUUCCUUAGUGGUGAUUUCUGAGAUUUUGGUGCACUCAUCAGCUGAGCAGUGUUCACUGCACCCACUGUGUAAUCUUUUAUCCUCCACCCUCCUCCCACCCCUUCCCCCUAGUUCCCAAAGUCCAUUGUAUGAUUCUUAUGCCUUUGUGUCUUCAUAGCUUAGCUCCCACUUAAAAGUGAGAAAUACGAUGUUUCGUUUUCCAUUCCUGGGUUACUUAACUUAGAAUAAUGGUCUGCAACUCCGUCCAGGUUGCUGCAAAUGCCAUUAUUUUGUUUCUUUUUAUGGCUAAGUAGUAUUCCAUGGUGUGUGUGUGUGUGUGUGUGUGUGUGUGUGUGUGUAUCACGUUUUCUUUAUCCACUCAUGAUGGAUGGGCAUUUGGGCUGGUUCCAUAUUUUGCCAGUGUGAAUUGUGCUGCUAUGAACAUGUGGGUGCAAGUGUCUUUUUCAUAUUGUGACUUAUUUUCCUUUGGGUAGAUCCACAGUAAUGGGAUUGCUACAUCAUAUGGUAGAUCUACUUUUAGUUUUUUAAGGAAUCUCCAUACUGUUUUCCAUAGUAGUUGCACUAGUUUGCAUUCCCACCAACAGUGUAAAAGUAUUCCCUUUUCACCACACCCACACCAACAUCUAUUAUUUUUUAUUGUUAAAUUAUGGCUAUUCUUGCAGGAGUAAGGUGGUAUCACGUUGUGGUUUUGAUUUGCAUUUCCCUGAUAAUUAGUGACGUUGAGCAUUUUUCAUAUGUUUGUUGGCCAUUUAUAUAUCUUUUGAGAAUUGUGUAUUCAUGUCCUUAGCUCACUUUUUAAUAGGAUUAUUUGUUUUUUUCUCGCUGAUUUAUUUGAGUUCCUCAUAGAUUCUGGAUAUUAGUUCUUUGUUGGAUGCAUAGUUUGCAAAAUUUUUUCCCACUGUGUGGGUUGUCUGUUAACUCUGCUGAUUAUUUCUUUUGCAGUGCAGAAGCUUUUUAGUAUAAUUAAGUCCCAUCUAUUUAUCUUUGUCUUGGUUGCAUUUGCUUUUGGGUUCUUGGUCAUGAAGUCUUUGCCUAAGCCAAUGUCUAGAAGGGUUUUUCUGAUGUUAUCUUCCAGAUUUUUUAUGGUUUCAGGUCUUAGAUGUAAGUCUUUGAUCCAUCUUGAGUUGAUUUUUGUAUAAGGUAAGAGAUGAAGAUCCAGUUUCAUUCUUCUACAUGUGGCUUGCCAAUUAUCCCAGGACCAUUUGUUGAAUAGGGUGUUCUUUUCCCAUUUUAUGUUUUUGUUUGCUUUGUUGAAAAUCAGUUGGCUGUAAGUGUUUGGCUUUUUUUCUGGGUUCUCUAUUCUGUUCCAUUGGUGUAUGUGCCUAUUUUUAUACCAAUACCAUGCUGUUUUAGUGACUAUAGCCUUAUACUAUAGUUUGAAGUCAGGUAAUGUGAUGCCUCCAGAUUUGUUCUUUUUGCUUAGUCUUGCUUUGGCUAUGCAGGGUCUUUUUUGGUUUCAUAUGAAUUUUAGGAUUUUUUUUCUAGUUCUGAGAAAAAUGAUGAUGGUAUUUUGAUGGGAAUUGCAUUAAAUUUGUGGAUCACUCUUGGUAGUAUGGCCGUUUUGACAAUAUUGAUUCUAGCUACCCAUGAGCAUGGGAUGUGUUUCCAUUUGUUUGUGUUGCCUAUGAGCUAUUUCAGCAGUGUUUUGCAGUUUUUCUUGCAGAAGUCUUUCACCUGCUUGCAUAAGUAUAUUCCUAAGUAUUUUAUUUUCAAAAACUCUAUUGUUUAAUUAGGUCCCACUUGGCAAUUUUUCUUUUUGCUGCAAUUGCUUUUCAGGACUUAGUAAUAAAUUAUUUGCUGAGGCCAAUGUCUAGAAUGGCAUUUCCUAGAUUUUAUUCUGGAAUUUUUAUAGUUUGAGGUCUUACAUUUAAAUCUUUAAUCUAAUCCGUCUUGAAUUAAUUUUUGUAUCCAGUGAAAGGUAGGGGUUUAGUUUCAUUCUUCUGCAUAUAGAUAUUCAGUUUUUCCUUUUAUUAAAUAGGAAGUCCUUUCUCAAUUCCUUAUUUUUGUCAACUUUGUCAAAGAUUAGAUGGCUGCAGGUGUGCAGCUUUAUUUCUGGGUUCUCUGUACUUUUCUGUUGAUCUAUGUGUCUGUUUCUGUACAAGUAUCAUGCUGUUUUUGUUACUGUAGCCUUGUAGUAUAGUUUUAAAAUUGGGUAAUGUGAUGCCUCCAGCUUUGUGUAUGUGUGUAUGUGUGUGUGUGUGUGUUUGUGUGUGUGUGUGUUUUGUUUAGGAUUGCUUUGGCUAUUCAGGCCCAUUUUUGGUUCCAUAUGAAUUUUACAAGACUUUUUUCUUUUUUUUUUUUUCCUAACCUGUUCCCCCACACCAAACAAAGGUGUCCCUAUUUCUAGUCCCUCAUGGCAGCUCUCUCAUUCUCUGCCUUGAUCUCCCCUAUGUCAUCUCUUUCCUGAAACUUCCUCUUUAAAAUCCUUCACACGGGGGUUCCACCCCAACCUCUCCUUGGGAAAAGGAAAAUAUCUUAGGAAGAUCUCUUCUUGGCAUAGAGUGUUGUAGGGAAGUGGGUUGGGAGAUGAUGGGUUCUACCUGAAUUUACCUUACAUUAAAUUAUAAUUUCACAAUUGUGAAAUAUUUAAUUUUUUUCUAGAAGACUUUUUUCUAAUUCUGUUAAAAAUGAUGUUGGCAGUUUGAUAGGAAUAGCACUGAAUCUAUAGAUUUCUUUGGGCAGGAUGGCCAUUUUUACAAUAUUAAUUCUUCUAAUCCAUGAGCCUGGAAUAUUUUUCGAUUUGAUUGGGUCAUGUCUGAUUUCUUUUAGCAGUGCUUUGUAGUUCUCCUUGUAGAGAUCUUUCAUUUCUUUGAUUAGAUGUAUUUUCUAGGUACUUUUUUCAUGUGUGUCUGUGGCUAUUGUAAAUGGGAUUGUGUUCUUGAUUUGGCUUUCACCUUCAAUGUUAUUGGUAUAUAGAAAUGAUCGGUAGCAUGUCUGCACACUGGUAAUGAAUUAGCUGAAAAAGAAACCAAGAAAGCAAUCCCAUUGACAAUUGCUACCAAAACAAACAAACAAAUAAAACAAAAGAAAACAAAAUAAACCUAGGAAUAAAUUUAACUAAGAAGGUGAAAUAACUCUACAAGAAAAACUGUAUAAAACACUGGUGAAAGAAAUUGAGGAGGACACAAAUGGAAGAAUCUCCCAUGCUUUUGGAUCAGAAUUAAUAUAGUUAAGAUGACCACACUACCCAAUACCAUCUAUAGAUUCAAUGCAAUUCCUAUCAAAGUACCAAUGCUGUUUUUAAAAUACAAAAAUAGAAAAAAAAAUCCUUCAAUUUAUAUGAAAUCACGGAAAAAAAACGAAUAGCCAAAACAAUACUGAGUAAUUUACAUUUCUCUAAUGACCAGUGAUGAUGAGGCCUUUUUCAUACGUUUAUUGGCCUUAAUGUCUUCUUUUGUCUGCUCAUAUUUUUUGCCCAGUUUUUGAUGGGGUUGUUGUUUUUUUUUCUUGUAAAUUUGUUUAAGUUCUUUGUAGAUUCUGGAUAUUAGCCCUUUGUCAGAUAAAUAGAUUGCAAAAAUUUUCUCCCAUUCUGUAGGUUGUCUGUUCACUCUGAUGAUAAUUUCCUUUGCUGUGCAGAAGUCCUUUAGUUUAAUUAGAUCCCAUUUGUCAAUUUCGGCUUUUGUUGGCAUUGCUUUUGGUGUUUUAGUCAUGAAGUCUUUACCCAUGCCUGUGUCCUGAAUGGUAUUGCCUAGGUUUUCUUCUAGGGUUUUUAUGGUUUUAGGUCUUAUGUUAAGUCUUUAAUCCAUCUUGAGUUAAUUUUUGUAUAAGAUGUAAGGAAGGGGUCCAGUUUCAGUUUUCUGCAUAUGGCUAGCCAGUUUUCCCAACACCAUUUAUUAAAUAGGGAAUCUUUUCCCCAUUGCUUGUUUUUGUCAGGUUUGUCAAAGGAAUGAGAUACCAUCUCACGCCAGUUAGAAUGGCGAUCAUUAAAAAGUUAGGAAACAACAGAUGCUGGAGAAGAUGUGGAGAAAUAGGAAUGCUUUUACACUGUGGGUCGGAGUGUAAAUUAGUUCAACCAUUGUGAAAGACAUUGUGGCGAUUCCUCGAGGAUCUAGAACUAGAAGUACUAUUUGACCCAGCAAUCCCAUUACUGGGUAUUUACCCAAAGGGUUAUAAAUCAUUCUGCUAUAAAGACACAUGCACAUGUAUGUUUAUUGCAGCACUGUUCACAAUAGCAAAGUCUUGGAACCAACCCAAAUGUCCACCAACGAUAGAGUGGCUAAAGAAAAUGUGGCACAUAUGCACCAUGGAAUACUAUGCAGCCAUACAAAAGGAUGAGUUCAUGUCCUUUGCAGGGACAUGGAUGAAGCUGGAAACCAUCAUUUUCAGCAAACUAACACAGGAACAGAAAAUCAAACAUUGCAUGUUCUCACUUAUAAGUGGGAGUUGAACAAUGAGAACAUGUGGACACAGGGAGGGGAACAUCACACACUGGGGAGUGUUGGGGGAUGGGGGGCUAGGGAGGAAUUGCUUUCGGAGAAAUAUCUAAUGUAAAUGACAAGUUGAUGGGUGCAGUAAACCACCAUGGCACGUGUAUACCUGUGUAGCAAACCUGCAUGUUUUGCACAUGUGUCCCAGAACUUAAAGUACAAUUAAAAAAAAUUUAAUACAGAUGAGAUCAGGAGCAUAUGUGUAUAAUUACAUAAGCCAUGUAUGUUUUAUAUGAGCAUAGAAAGAAAUGUAAAAAUAAAUGCACAAAAUUGACUUUUUUAUAUACUCUUCUGUUACUUGGCUUUGAAAAAAUAAUGUUCUUAUUUUUGAAUUUUAAAAGAAAACUGCAAUAAAAUGUGAAUAUGUUAAAAAAAAAAGCACCAAAAAAAUACUGAGUAAAAAGAACAAAGCUGAAGGCAUCAUCCUAUCUGACUUCAAAAUAUACUACAAAGGUAUCAUAACCAAAACAGCAUGGUAUUGAUAUAAAAACAGACACAUAGACCAAUGGAACAAAAACAGAGAACCCACAAAUAGAUCCACAUAUUUACAGCCAAAUGAGUUUCAGCAAAGGCACCAAGGGCAUACUACAGGAAAAGGACGCUCUCUUCAAUAAGUAGUGCCAGGAAAACUGGAUAUCCAUUUGCAGAAGAAUAAAACUAGACUUCCUAUUAGAGUUUGGAGGAUAUGUGGAGGGAGAGGAUCAGGAAAAAAUAACUAAUAGGUACUAGGUUUAAUACCUAGGUGAUGAAAUAAUCUAUACAACAAACUCCCAUGAAACAUGCUCACUUAAGUAACAAACCUGCACAUGUACCCCUGAAUUUAAAGUAAAAGUAUAAAAUACUUUUAUAUUAUAUAUAUUAAAAAGUAUAUAUAAAGUAUAUAUAGUAUAUAUGUAAAAAUAUGUACAGUAUACAUAGAGUAUCUAUAAAAAAAGAAACUAGACUUCUAUAUCUCAUGAUAUUAAAAAAAUCCUCAAAAUGUAUGAAAGAAUUAAACAUAAAACCUAAAUUGAUAAAAUUACUAGAAGAAAACAGGAAAAUACUCCAGAACGUUGGUCUAGGUAAAGAUUUUGAGGCAAGCCCUCAAAAGCACAGACAGCAAAACAAGAAAUAGACAAACGGGACUAUAUUAAAUUAAAAAGCUUCUACAUAGCAAAGGAAUCAAUCAACAGAGUAAAGAGACAACUUACAAAAUGAGACAAAAUACUUGCAAAAUAUUUAUCAACAAAAGAAUCAUAUCCAGAAUGUAUGAGGAACUCAAACAACUAAACAGCAAAAAUACAGAUAAUCCCAUUAAAAAGUGGGCAAAAAAUCUAAAUAGACAUUUCUCCAAAGAAGACAUAUAAAUGACCAACAGGUAUAUAAAAAAAUUGCUCAACAUCACUAAUUAUCAGAGAAAUGCAAAUCAAAACCACAUGGAGAAACCAUCUUACCCCAGUCAGAUUGGCUAUUACCAAAAAGACAAAAAAUACCAAAUGCUGGCUAAGAUGUGAAGAAAAGGAAAUGCUUACACACUGUUGGUGGGAAUGUAAAUUAGUACAGUCAUUAUGGAAACAGUAUGGUGAUUUCUUAAAAAACUAAAAAUAGAACCACUACAGGAUCUAGCAAUCCCACUGUUGAGUAUUUAUCCAAAGGAGAAGAAGCCAAUAUAUUAAAGGGGUACAUGUAUUCCUAUAUUUAUUGCAGCACUAUUCACAGUAGCCAAGAUAUGGAAUCAACAGUUCCAUCAGCAAUUCAACAGAUAAAGAAAAUGUGGUAUAUAUACAAAAUGUAAUACUAUUUGGCCAUCAAAAGUAAUAAAAUCAUCUCAUUUGCAGCCACAUGGAUGGAACUAGAGGUUAUUAUGCUAAGUGAAAUAAGCCAGGCACAGGAAGACAAAUAUUGCAUGUUCUUACUCAUGUGUGGAAGCUAUAAAAGUGACUCUCAUGGAGUAGAGAAUAGAGUGGUAAUUACCAGAGACUGCAAAGCAUGGUAGAAAGAUACAGAGAGGUUGGUUAAUGGGUAUAAAUAUACAGUUAGAUAGAAGGAAUACAUUCUCAUAUUUAAUAGCUCAGUAGGAUGACUAUAGUUUUAACAAUAAUUUUUUGAAUUUCAAAAUAGCAAGAAAAGAUUUGAAAUGUUCCCAACACAAAUAAAUAAUAAAUGUUGGAGUUGAAGGAUAUCCUAAAUAUCUUGAUGUGAUUAUUAUACAUUUUAUAUAUGUAUCAAAAUAUCACAUGAGUAGCAGAAUUAUUUACACUCAUUAUGUAAUAAUUAGAAAAAAGAAGAGGAUGAGGUAGAGGACACAGACACAUAAGGAGGAAGAAGGCCAUGUGGCCAAGGCUGUAGAAGCCCGCUUCUGGCAUCAGCGAACAUGACCUGGAUGUGAGACAUGGAGUCAAAGAAGAUCAUUUUGGGACUUUAAGGUUUAAUGACUGCCCUAUUGUAUUUUGGACUUUCAUGGGGCCUGUAACCCCUUUGUUUUGGCCAAUUUCUCCCAUUUGGAAUGGGAGCAUUUAGCCAAUGCCUGUACCCCCAUUGUGUCUAGGAAGUAAGUAACUUGCUUUUGAUUUUGCAGGCUCAUAGGCAGAAGAGACUUGCCUUGUCUCAGAUGAGGCUUUGGACUUGGACUUUUGAGUUAAUGCUGGAAUGAGUUAAGACUUUGGGGGAUUGUUGGAAAGGCAUGAUUGUGUUUUGAAAUGUGAGGACAUGUGAUUUGGGAGGGGUCAAGGGUGGAAAGAUAAGGUUUGGCUGUGUCCCCACUCAAACCCCAUCCUGAAUUGUAGUUCCCAUAAUCUCCGCAUGUUGUGGGAGAGACCCAGUGCAAGGUAAUUGAAUCAUGGGGGCCGUUACCCUCAUGCUGUGCUCGUGAUAGUGAGUGAGUUCUCACAAGAUCUGAUGGUUUCAUAAGCAGCUUUUCCCCUUUUUUGCUGGGCACUUCUCCUUGUUGCCACUAUGUGAAGAAGGACAUGUUUGCUUCCCCUUUCACCAUGAUUGUAAGUCUCCUUAAGUCCCCUGAGGCCUCCCCCAGCCAUGCUGAACUGUGAGUCAAUUAAACUGCCUUCCUUUAUAAAUUGCCCAGUCUUGGGUAUGUCUUUAUUAGCAGCAUGAGAAGGGACUAAUACACCAUGUGAAGAUAAAGGCAGAAUUGGAAUUAAGAUGCUGCAAGGAAAACUUGGGGAUUUAAAAGCUGAACAAAUCAUGGAAAUGUUUCUUUCCUAGAGCUUAUGGUCCCUACUGACCUUGGACUUCUAGCCUCCAGAAUUGUGAGAGAAUAAAUUCCUGUUGUUUUAAGUCCCCCUACCCCCACUCCUCAAAAACAAUAAAUCAAGGCUUUGACUGACCUGGCUGGUGACCUGGUGCUGUGCUGUAGGAAGAGACAGAAGAUUCUCAGCUACAGGAGUAGAGCCGAGGUAGGAGUAGGGAGGUAGUAUGAAUAGAGAAAUUUAGUGGACGUGAUUUCAAAGUCAGUAGGUAAGAAUGUUUUACUUCUAUGUGACUCUCAGGACUAUAAAGCAAAUUAUUUCAGAAUGUAUUACUUUAAUGUGAUUCUCAGGAAUAUAAAGGAAAAUAAAAAAUUAAAAAUGUUGGAUGACUGCCAUUUUUCUUCGAGACAGGGUCUCCCUUUGUUGCCCAAGCUGUACUUGAACUCCUGGGCUCAACUGAUACCCCUGCCUCACCCUCCCAAGUAGCUGGGACUAUAGGUACAUGCCACGGUGCCUGGCUCUCCUGUGAUGUUUAAAUGUAAUAUCACUUGAUGCAAUAUAUUUGUAGUUGUAAAUGAAACUUUACUCCUUAAAGUAAGGAGGACACUUGACUCCUUAAAGUUCAUAUAAUUUCCACUGGACACUAUUUUGCUGUUAGCUCAAGUGUUCAUUUGUUUUAACAUAUAUGGAGGAUUAAAGUGUGUCUACAAUUAUGGAGUUCAAACUGAUGUCUAAACUAAUAUAACUGUGAAUACCUUAAAUAACAAACACAGUUAAAUGCAGCACAAUUAGUUAAAUAAAAUUCCAGUGGCUCAAAAGUAUAAUGUUGUUGACAGGUCGUUGUCAUGGGAAUCAGAAUUCCUGACAUGGAUGUUUGACCUGGAGCAGACUACCCAAAGUUUCUUUUUGGUCUCAGCUUCUAUAUGUAAAAUAAAGGUAUUGGACGCAAGAACAAACCAAACCAAACCAAAAAAAAAAGAAAAGAAAAAAGGCAAUGCGUGAAGAGUCAAAUCUCAAAGGAAUGGGGCAUGCAAAGAGGCAAUAGUGAAACCUGAAGUGAAAGGAAUGUCAGCCAGAUGGAUUGGGCAGAUUUGGGAGAGUAGAGGGGCUGAAAUUUAAAAGAUUCCUGAAGCUUUGAACUUUUAUUUCUGCUGAGAACACAUGCACCUCAAUGCCUUUUCCAAAUGCUCUCCAUACCAUCUACCUAUACAAUACAAUUUGGCAUUUGCCAUUUUGAAUGCAUAGGUUGGCACAUGUACCAUGCUCUUUGCAUUCUUCAGUGAGCUUCUGCAAUUGACAAACAGCUACAUUUUGUAACAAAAAGAUAACAGAGGCAAGAACAGGACCAUAGGCUUCUCCUAGAACCCUUGUUUUUUGAAUGAUGCAAUAACCCUGAACCCAAUUUUAUUUCUGUGCCUGUUAGUGACUCCCAAGGAGGUUGGAAUGGCAACAAAGUCCAGACUUUCCAGGCUGAGGGCCAAUUGGUAACUGCCUUCACUGCAUCCUGCUUUCUUGCUACCUAUUGGAGAAACAAUUGAAUUUCAUGAUCAGAUUGGCCAAUGAAUAAGUAGCUAUGGACCAUAUAAUUCUGCCAAAACUGUACACUGACCUAUGGAAAAAGCUGCUUGGAGUCAUAGCGUCAGGGAUAUCAGAUUUAUAACUCUUCACUAAAGUUCUGAUUUAUUUUCUUGGCUAGGUGGGAGGCUAAUGCAUCUGAAACAGAAAAGUUGAAAAACCUUAGUCUCCUAGGCAGGUACUGGAUCCCAACCCUACCUGACAUAUACUAUUACAGAUAGUAAAGAUUGCUACUCUUGCAUUUCCAACAUUAUCUUCCCUUCCCUACCCCCCAGCACUUGCAUAAGAGGGAACAUGAACCCUCAUAGAACUGAGCAGGAGGAUUAGGGCAGAUAAUAAAUCUCGGGCUGAUUUGGUUAGCAGGCAGUCACAGGUUAGCAGGGGAAAACCUAGCCUUUUUCUGGUCUCUUCUCUAUGGACCAGCAAACAGAGUGAAAUGGAAGUGUAGUCUUUUUUGGUGAAAGGUGGUCUAAACUCCUCUACUUGAAAUCAGGCUUACUUCCCAAUGACUAGCCAAAACUGAGGGUUGAGACUGUUAUCUGCAUAAUUUAGGGACCAGGAAGGAAUCUAACUUUACUUAUAAAACAUAGUGGAAUUUUGGGCCUGUGUUGUGAAGACAGUACCUUCAAUUUCUGAUUAUUUGGUCUGGAGAGAAUAGACUAAACUCUUCGUUAGAGUAAAUGUAGGAAUAAAAGAUUAAAGUUGUUUUCAGAGGGAAUGUAUUCCGUCUUUCAUUUCUUACAUGAUGUUUCUUGCUUAAUGCAUUAGUUUCCUUGGGCUGCCAUAGCAAAGUACUGUACACUGAGUGGCUUAUGCAACAGACAUGUAUUGUCUCACAGUUCCGGAGGUUGGAAAUCCACGAUCACAUUUUUGGCAGAGUUGAUUCCCUCUGAGACUUGAGAGGGAGACUCUCGCCUGGCUUCUGGUGGUUUGUUGGCAAUGUUUGCUGUUCCUUGACUUGUAGAAUCAUCACAUUGCUCUCUGCCUGAAUUUUCAUGUAGUAUUCGCUCUCUGUGUCUUGCUGUCUCAAAAUUUCCACUUUUUAUAAGAACAUCAGUCAUACUAGAUUAGAGCCUACCCUAAUGACCUUAUCUUAACUUGAUUACCUCUGUAAGGGCCCUUUCUCCAAAUAAGGUCACAUCCUGCAGUUCAGGGGGUUAAGACUUGAACAUAUGAAUUUUUUAGGAAACAAACGUAUAACACUUAAAUAUAUUGUAUGGAUUCCUGAUAUUCUUACUGAAUAUAUAAUUAUAAAACCAUAAUCCUAUAGUCUAAAUGCCACUGACUUUAUUAAAAGAGUCUAGGUGAAUACGUUUUUAAAAUAUAUUUUCCUUUUUCUAACUUGAAACGAGAGAGUCAGAAUUUAUCAAUAUCUAUCCAGCAUUGUGUUGAAACUGGGUUGUAAUGCUUUUUCCUAUCUGGGAAAUAGAACUGGAUGGACAGCUGGCUUCAGAGUUUGCAUGAAGAGUACAUAAUCCUACUUAUGUAACCCAUCGUGUUUGCAAAAUCUGCACUGCAGUUUUUUAGGAGGGAAUGAGAUGUUUGGAAAUAAAAUCUGCUGUGCAGGAGUGGAAAAUUUAUCCACUUUCCACAUUAUUUUUGUUGCCUAUAUUUUUAUUUUGCAUUCUCAAGAAGUAUGUAUCCGUGCUUGAAUGUUUUGCCUUUGCUGCACAUGUCAGGAAUGCAGAAUUGGUGAAUUCUGGUGCAAGAUCUAUUCAUUGACCUUUACAUGAUAGGAAAGUUGUUUAACUCCUUCAGGAUUAUGAUUUCUUAAGUUUAGAGUCAAUUGGCCUCGACUGGGGUUGAAUGGGGAAAGGAGGGCAUGAGGAAUGAAUACUUAUGCAGCCCUUAAAAGUGUGAGGGUCCAUUGUUCACAUGGUAAAUCUGCAAACAAAGUCAGUCAUUAUAUCCAUGUGCUGGACUUUUUUUUUUUUUUUUUUUUUUAAGACAGAUUCUAGCUCUGUUGCCCGGGCUAGAGAGCUGUGGCACAAUCAUAGCUCACUACAACCUUGAACUUCUGGGAUCAAGUGAUCCUCCCACCUCAGCCACCCAAGUAGCUAGGACUACAGGUGUGCACCACCAUGCCCGGCUAAUUUUUAAUUUUUUGUAGAGAGGGGUCUUGCUAUCUUGAACAGGCUGGUCGUAAACUUCUGGCCUCAAGCAGUCUUCCUGCCCUGGCUUCCCAAAGUGUUGAGAUUACAGGCAUGAGUCACUGCGCCUGGCCUGUUUGGUUUUAUUUUUAAUCGGCCCUAUAAUAUUUUCAUCCUGAUUCUGAUUUACAGCACUGUUCCUUUAUCGUUAGUAGGAACUGUCAUUCCUUCAUAACUAGUGAUUCUGUUGGGACUGUAGAUUAUAUUAACUCAGUUUUUGGGCACUGGCCAAUAAUAUUACCCUAUCAGCUGGUAACAAUGAUUGGUCUAAGGGAGGGGACAUGGACAAGUUAGCCAGUCAGAGGCUUUCCCUGGGAUUUUACAUACUAAUAAGGAGGGAUUGGGGGAAAGAAACUUUCUUCCUUCCUUCCUUCCUUCCUUCCUCCCUUCCUUCCUUCCUUCCUUCCUUCCUUCCUUCUCCCUCUCCUCCCUCCCUCCCUCCUUUCUGUCCAUCCUUCCUCCCUCCCUCCCUCCCUCCCUCCCUUCCUUCCUUCCCUCCUUCCUUCCUUUCUUUUCUUUUCUUUCUUUCUGUUUUUAGAUGGAGUCUCACUCUUGUCGCCCAGGCUGGAGUGCAGUGGUGUGAUCUCAGCUCACUGCAACCUCCACCUCCCGGGUUCAAGUGAUUCUCCAGCCUCAGCCUCCCAAGUAGCUGGGACUACAGGCACAUGCCACUGCAUCUAGCUAAUUUCUGUAUUUUCAGUAGAGACGGGAUUUCGCCAUGUUGGCCAAGCUUGUCUUGAACUCCUGACCUAGGGUGAUCUGCCCAAUUCGGCCUCCCAAAGUACUGGAAUUACAGGCGUGAGCCACUGCACCUGGCGAAACUUUCACUUUUCUUUUCUUCUUCUUCUUUUUUUUUUUUUUUGAGACGGAGUUUUGCUCUUAUUGCCCAGGCUGGAGUGCAGUGGUGCGAUCUCGGCUCACUGCAACCUUUGCCUCCUGGGUUCAAGCAAUUCUCCUGUCUUAGCCUCCUGAGUAGCUGGGACUACAGGUGCCCACCACCACACCCGGCUAAUUUUUGUAUUUUUUAGUAGAGAUGGGGUUUCACUAUAUUGAUCAGGCUGGUCCCGAACUCCUGACCUCAAGUGAUCCUCCCGCCUUGGCCUCCGAAAGUGUUGGGAUUAUAGGCGUGAGCCACCACGCCCAGCCUGUUUAUCCUUUAAGACCAGCUGAGAUACCACUAUCUUUGUGAACUCUUCUCUAAUUUGUUUAGUUAACAAUGGGUCUCCACCUGUGUCCUAUAUAGCCCUGUGUCUUAAUGACAUCUAUUCCAUUCUGCCUUCUAUUGUGUGUUCCAGUGUUGUGUAAUAAUUCACCCAAAAUUAAUGGGUUAAGACAAGUACUAUUUUAUUAUCUCAUCAUCUUCUUGGUUAAAGGUUUGAAUAGAACUUAGCUGGGGGCUUGCUCCUCUUCGCCUGUUGUUUGAUGGUCACUCAAUGGUAUUUAGCUGGUCUGAUCUAGAAGGUCCAAGACAGCUUCACUCACCUGCCUUGCUCCUUGGGAGGGUUGCUGUUGCUGGUGUAUCCUCUCUGUCCUUUUGGGUUUUGUUCUCUUUCCUUUUGGGUUCAUGCCUUAAACAAUUUCUAUCCUGUUAUUUUAGCAAGGUUUCUGGAGGGAGCAUGUGUUCAAUCUAGUAUUUUUACCCGGAAGUCCCCAAAACCUAGUUUAUAAAGUACUUUCAUAUUUAGUUUCUAUUUUCUCUUUACAAGAGCCUGGUGAGUAUUACGCCUCCAUCUUUUAAGACAGAAAAGCUGAAACAGACACGUGUUUUGGCAGUCAAGCCUUUUGAUUGCAAGGAAAAAAACUCACUCAAGCCAGUGAACGUAUAUGUGAUAUUCUAAUUUAAAAAAGUAUUCUCAUCAGCCCCCAGGCUCACGCUUGUGGUCUUUGAGGGUUGCUGUGGGUGCACCAUCUAGAUUUUCCUGGUUUUUGGAGUCCAGGUGUUCAUUGGGAUUCUCAGAUAAAAUACAAGAUUCCCAAUUUUAUUUGCAUUUCAGACAUAUAACUAAUAAUUUUUUAGUAAAGAUAUGUUUCAGCUAUUUAAUGGAAUACUGUACUUGUACUAAAAAUCAUUGUUUACCUGAAAUUCAAAUUUAAUUGGGCCUCCAGAAUAUUUAUUUGCCAAAGGUAACCGUAGUCUACUUAGGUCAAUAAAGGGUUCAUGAGUAUGAGGAAUGAUUGAGUUUUAUGAGAAUAGUUAAGAAAACACCCUUUGGCCUUAGCGACGGACUAUUUCUAAACCUGGAAUCAUUCUUCAGCAAAAUCCUAAAGAAAGGGGAAUGUUGUUCCCUGUUUUUUUUUUGUUGUUGUUAAAAAAAAAAACCCUUUUUACCUUUCCCUUUAUGUCUCACCACAUGUAAGCUGAUUUAAUUUUCAAGCUAUCUUUCAGCAACAUGUCAUUGUCAUAUACUCAAAAUAAUAGAUGUCAUUUUUUGAGAUCUUACUUCAUGCCAGGCAUAUUGCUAAAUGCUUUAGAUGUAUUAUCUCAUCUAAUUCUCAUAUGAACAGUAGGUAUCAGUAGCACAAUCUUAUUUUACAGGUGCAUGGGGGGAAGAUGCAGUUGAUAAAGCUUAAAUGAGUUGCCUAAGGCUGGUUACUAAGUGAUUGAGGGGACAGUGGAACAGUAGUGCUCUAGUUUUUUCCUGAAAGCAGAGUUUUGUUGAAAAAGAAAGGCUGUGAAAUUAGUUCAUUGCAUUUUUUUAAUUAUACUUUAAGUUUUAGGGUACAUGUGCACAACGUGCAGGUUAGUUACAUAUGUAUACAUGUGCCAUGUUGGUGUGCUGCACCCAGUAACUCGUCAUUUAACAUUAGGUAUAUCUCCUAAUGCUAUCGCUUCCCACUCCCCCCACCACACAACAGGCCCCAGUGUGUGAUGUUCCCCUUCCUGUGUCCAUGUGUUCUCAUUGUUCAAUUCCCACCUAUGAGUGAGAACAUGCGGUGUUUGGUUUUUUGUCCUUGAGAUAGUUUACUAUUGCAAACUGGAAUGAUGGUUUCCAGCUUCAUCCACGUCCCUACAAAGGACAUGAACUCAUCAUUUUUUAUGGCUGCAUAGUAUUCCAUGGUAUAUAUGUGCCACAUUUUCUUAAUCCAGUCUAUCAUUGUUGGACAUUUGGGUUGGUUCCAAGUCUUUGCUAUUGUGAAUAGUGCCUCAAUAAACAUACAUGUGCAUGUGUCUUUAUAGCAGCAUGAUUUAUAAUCCUUUGGGUAUAUACACAGUAAUGGGAUUGCUGGAUCAAAUGGUAUUUCUAGUUCUAGAUCCCUGAGGAAUUGCCACACUGACUUCCACAAUGGUUGAACUAGUUUACAGUCCCACCAACAGUGUAAAAGUGUUCCUGUUUCUCCACAUCCUCUCCAGCACCUGUUGUUUCCUGACUUUUUAAUGAUUGCCAUUCUAACUGGUGUGAGAUGUUAUCUCAUUGUGGUUUUGAUUCGUAUUUCUCUGAUGGCCAGUGAUGAUGAGCAUUUUUUCAUGUGUCUUUUGGGUGCAUAAAUGUCUUCUUUUGAGAAGUGUCUGUUCAUAUCCUUCACCCACUUGUUGAUGGGGUUGUUUGUUUUUUUCUUGUAAAUUUGUUUGAGUUCAUUGUAGAUUCUGGAUAUUAGCCCUUUGUCAGAUGAGUAGAUUGCCAAAAUUUUCUCCCAUUCUGUAGGUUGCCUGUUUAUUCUGAUGGUAGUUUCUUUUGCUGUGCAGAAGCUCUUUAGUUUAAUUAGAUCCCAUUUGUCAAUUUUGGCUUUGGUUGCCAUUGCUUUUGGUGUUUUAGACAUGAAGUCCUUGCCCAUGCCUAUGUCCUGAUGGAUGGGGUCUUGCUCUGUCACCAAGGCUGGAGAGCAAUGGCGUGGUCUUGGCUCACUUCAAUCCUUGCCUCCCGGGUUCAAGUGAUCCUCCUGCCUCAGCCUCCCGAGUAGCUGAGAUUAUAGGCACGUGCCACCAUGCCCAGCGAAUUUUUGUAUUUUUAGUAGGGAAGGGGUUUCACCAUGUUGGCCAGGCUGGUCUCGAACUCCUGACCUCAGGUGAUCCCCCUGCCUCGGCCUCCCAAAGUGCUGGGAUUAUAGGCAUGAGCCACCAUGCCCGGUCAGUUCAUUGCUUUUUUGUGUGUGUGAAUAAUUUGGUAAAUUUUCUUUUUCCACGGCCUUUGGGAUUUUAUGUGGUUUUGGCCACAGAAGGAGUCCAGGUCUCCGAGUCUCUUGUCGUUUGUGCCUUCAUGGCACCAUGUGAACUCUCCUUUUCUUUUUGUUGCUCAUUUUUGUAGGCCUGCUGGACAAAUUCAAAUUCCAAAACAGAAGAUAGCCAACAAACCCAGAAGAUAUUGACUCUUUAUAUUCAUGCUUUCACAGAACAAUGAUGAGUGGUACUAUUCUGCAGGAUAAAAUUGGAAAGAACUCAGUACAUUCAUUGUUCAAAGCAAUUGAUUCACCCUUGAGAAAGCAGGCCGGUAGUUGAAGUGUGUUUACACAGUGACUCAGCUUCUGCUCAGAAUUGGGUAACAGGUCUUUAUUAUCUUUACUUUCUUUCUUAGAAAAAAAAAUUGACUAAGUUUUUACAGUGGGAUGAUUGCAGCAUUUGGAGGUCUGCAUAAAAAUUUCAAAUAUUGUUGUUCAGCAUUUUUGAAGAGCCCCAUUAUGAUUUAGUCCCCAUUUCAGUUCUUUCUCACCACAAGAAAAAAGAUGCAGUUUUCUUUUCUUACUUAAAUCUAUCAAUGAGGUAACUCUCUGAGUCGUGUGUGUGUGUGUUGUGUGUGGGUGCUGUUGUGUAUGUGUGUUGUGUGUGUUUAUACCAAUAAAUUCAAAAGAUACUAAUAGGGCCUACUGAAGGUAAUAUUUUGCUAGCCACAUUUCUUUCCCCAAAUCCUUUUUUUAAAUUUAAUUUUAUUUUAUUUUAAACUCUGGGGUACAUACACAUGACGUGCAAGUUUGUUACAUAGGUAAACGUGUGCCACAGAGGUUUGCUGCACCUAUCAACCGAUCACCUAGGUAUUAAGCCCAGCAUGCAUUAGCUAUUUUUCCUGAUGCUCUCCCUCCCAUUGUACCCCGUGACAGGCCCCAGUAUGUGUUGUUCACCUGCCUGUGUCCCUGGGGUCUUUCCCCAAAUUUUAACAAAUAGCUUUUCUACAGUUUGAAGCUGUGAUUGAAAAUGGGGGAAUAGAAGAAGCUAGGAAGUCUUUAAACAAAGGACAUUAAAGUGUGUCCAAAUGAGUGGGAAACUGGGCCUCUUUAUAAUAGGCAUGCUAUGUCUUUUUGUGUUGAAUAAACACAGCUAUUCUGAAUGCAUCUCUGCUUUCAGAGACACACUGCAAAAAUGCUAAGGAUAGCUCAGCCUCUGGUACUAAUCCCUUUUGUGACUUUGAGCAAUUCCUGUAGCAUCACUAGAUUUUAAGUUUUCUCAUUUCCAAAGAAGACAGGUUAGUUCAAUGUUUCCUGACUUCAGUUAUGUGCAUAGCUUUCAUUUUUUGGUCAUAUCCCAUUAUUAUAGAUGUGGCAUAAUAUUUGUUUAUUUCUAAUAUUUUUUAUUAGAAAUAAA